AUGCCUCGUACUCCGUGCGACCUCUCUGUUUUCGUUGUGGGUGACCCUCGGCAUGUAGGGUCCGAAGACAGAAUGAAGCUAUAUCUCCUAAAAUGAAUUAUUGUACACUAGUGUCUCCUGUAAACGUAAAGAGAGAGGGACAUUGCCUACGUUAUGUCCGAAGCAUGCACGUGGAACAGCAACUAAAUAUGCGUACGGCUACAAUAGAGCUUUUACAAAUAUUAAUACUAUAUAAUAUAAAGUUUAUUAUAAACUUUCAUGGAACAUGCAUGCAUGGCUGCAUUAAUUACAGUUCACAGCAGCACUCCUCAUUACCAUUAUUUAUUUUAACACAGCGAUGACUUUUCUCGUGUCCCUUUAGAUAGCAAUAACUAGCGCACAUAUCAGUUCUGCAGGGUGGCUUAGCAAAGUAGCAUUGCUCCUUUAUUCCUCCAGGACAGCCUAUGCCAACAUGCAACACAGUAUAAGUUAAAUAAGACUAUUUGGUUGCACUAACUGAUCUUAAUUCGAGAACAAAGAAUAAUGUAGAGUAAGCAAAUAGCGGUGCAUACAGCCUCCAGCUUGGCAAGAUGGGAAAGUAGGCAUGGUCCCAAGAACCAAGAUCAAAGCAGCAGCCAAGUACACAAUCCUAGUAGUACAUAUCUUGAUUGACGAUGCCAUGAACAUGAAGACGAGCUGCUCUGUUUCGUUUUUCUGAAAUCUAGCUAUGAGAGGAUUACUUAUGGAUGUAUCGCGCGCAUAUACAAAAGGCAUAACCCUCAUCAAGUGCAUAUUUAUACUAUCCGAAGGUAUGCUCUAUUACUAUUUUUUUAUUUGUUAUUUUAUAUACGUUGGGGAUAGAGAUAUGGAUAUUUUCUAGCUGCACAGAAAAUAAAUAUACAAUUGUACUUAUCGACCUCAGAUAGGAUUGAGAUCUCUUCAGCUUAGUAUUAUCUAAUAAAGUGGUGGUGCCUAGCCAUAUAACCCAACUGUCAAUGCGACUAAUUGAUGAUAGAGCCUUUUUAUCUAUGUGCCAUUAUAAAAGAUCAAAAUAACCUAAUAUACCAUCUUAAAUCUGAAAAGUUCUUUGCUCCGCUUAGAUAAAAAUUUCUUUACCUACAUGUCACUUCCGUCACCUAGCCGUUUCAUUCUCACAGAGCUGGCUAUCAAAAUUACAUGGCCUUGUUUAGUUCCAAAAAAUUUUGGGAAAUUGACACUGUAGCACUUUCGUUUGUAUUUGACAAAUAUUGUCCAAUCAUAGACUAACUAGGCUCAAAACAUUCGUCUCAUCAAUUUCGACCAAACUGUGCAAUUAGUUUUUAUUUUCGUCUAUAUUUAACACUCCAUGUAUGCGUCUAAAGAUUCGAUGUAAAGAGGAAUCUGAAAUUUUUUAUAAAGUUUUUUAGGAACUAAACAAGGCUUUAUGCCUUAGAUGUAACGAGGAAUCUGAAAUUUUUUGUAAAUUUUUUUGAGAACUAAACAAGGUCUUAUGCCUUAGGUGCUGCAGCUGCUUGUGACCUCCUCGUUCCCCACUGGUUCCCCACUGAAAACUCAAACUUGAGCCGAUUGGGAGGCUGGCCGCCGGCCGUGCUGGGCGUGCGCUCACGGGGAGUGCAGGCAGAACAUCGGGGGCGAGCACCGCGCGUGGGAAGCGAAGCCAUGGGGCUAAGGCGCGGGGCUCUCUCGUGUGGGGAGGCCGCGGGCCUCGCGCGGGGAGGCGUACAGCGGGGGGCGCUCACUAGGAGGCCGCAGGAAGCGGGGGGUUUUCCAGUCCGGCUGUUUGGACCAUAAGUGCUAUCAGGUAAUUUUUUCCGCCUGCCCACGUCGCGCUUCCGGCCUGAAACCUGACCCAAGCCAACUCGGCUUCCCACCCGCACGCGCUUCCGGCCCAGAUCACUGGAACCUGGCCCGUUCGAGCUACAGAUAUUUUUUGAGAAAAUAAAAAAGCAAAAUCAAUCUAGGCAUCACUCACCACCACUACACCAUUAACAUGAUUGUGAUAACUAUGUAAUAGUUUCUUCUUUAAAUACACCGCACCAUUUAAAGUAAAAAAAAAAAAUUAGUAAAGCAUCAUAAGAAAUGAUAUUUUAUAUUUAAAAUACCAAAAUAUAUUUCAUGAAAACAUGGAAAAAAAUCUAAGCAAUGGGAAAUACAAAUAAAUUACAAUAUUUUAGUUUUAGAAUCAUGAAAUUGGUAUUAUAAUGUACACAUAAAUAAAUAAAUAAAUAAAUAAAUAAUGUAAACAAAAAUAAUAAAAUCAAGAGUAAAUAUAAGGAAAAAAGAAAAACACGUAUUAGAGAAAAUUUUAAAAGAAUAUCAUAUGAAUAUUUUUCAAACAUCCUAAAAUAUAAUAUAGAACAUUAUUAGACACAUCAUAGAACAUCACUAAAUAUAUUAUAGAACAUUACAUGUAUAUUACGUGAACAUCACAUAUAUACUAUGUAAACAUUACAAAAUAUAUUAUAGAACAUCACUAAUUAUAGAACAUCACAUAUAUACCACGUGAACAUCACAUUUAUACUACGUGAAUAUCAUAUAACACACUAUAAAACAUCACUAAAUAUAAGAAAAAUAAGAAAUAAGAAAAUAAAAAAGAAAACAGCAAAAGAAAUAAAAGAAACAUCAAAACUAAAAGAAUAAUAAAAAAAUAACAUAAAAUAAAUAUAAAUAUAAACAAAAUUGAAACACAAAAGGAAGAAAACACGAGAAGAAUAAAAAGAGGAAAAUAAAAAAUAAAUAACGUAUCUAGAGGCAAAAAUAAUAAAAUAAACAUAAACAAAAAUAAGAAAAGAGAGAAAAGAAAAAGAAAAGAAAAUCACAUGAACAGAAAAAUAAACAAAAAUGAAAUAAAACAAUAAUAGGAAAAAGAAAGAAAAUAAAAUAAAACAAAAAGAAAUAAAUAAACAUAAAAAUUUAAAACUACAAGAAUAUCAAAAAGUCACAUGAAAUAGAAAAGAAAGUAUAAAUAAAUAAGAAUAGAAAAAAAAGAAAAAAAAAAGAAAGAAAGGAAAGUAGGAGAGAAACACGUACGUGUAGCUGGAGGCUGUCCCAUCGGAAAUAAUCCCGCGCUCUGCUCCCGCCCCGCAGUCCCGCAGCUCCCGCGCUCCCCGUGUUCCUGCGCUCUCUGUUCGGCGCAGUGAUCGGUCCGGCCGUUCGGACGCGAUGAUUCCCCGCAGGAAGCUCGCUGUGGUGUGGAAGGCCCAGGCCGCGGGAAGCUCGCGAGGAAGGCGCACUGUGGUGCUGAUUUGGAAAGGAUGAUGGAUCGACGACCAACUUGGCUUCCUGAUGGGUGAGUGUUCCUUUCCUUCUUGAAAUGCAUGAUAUUAGUACCAUCUUUUGAUGUUUUUAGGACUGGACUGGACUGCAUAUGUGAGUAAAUUAUAUGUUGUUCAUCUGUAGGAAUGACAUCAAGACCAGUUUCAAUCUAGAAAUCAGGAUAAUUAGUCCAACUAUGCGAGGACCAAGGUUUGGCAUUAAUAAAGUUGUUGAUUCAGACACCACAAAUUUUAAAGACUUUGUUGAUGAAAUUCUGGAUCAGUUUCCUUGCGGGUAUGGUGAUGUAGUGAAGCUGUUCUAUUUCUGUAGUGAAAGCAAGUCCAACAUACAAAUUCAUUCAGACCAAGGCUUAAUGCAUAUGUGUGCGAAACAUAUGAACUCCAAGUGUUGUUACCUGUCAAUUGCAUAUCAUAAACCUGAUGCUGAUCCAUAAGACAGAGGGGAUGCAUCUAGAUGACUCGUUGGAUACCAUAAGACAGAAGCUCCUUAUCAAAUGGGACCAGGGGUAGAAAAUUGCACACAAAAUGGAAGGUAAAAUUUUGCCACACAUCAUAACUAAGUUGAAGGAGCAAAGCAGGAACCUUGAAAUUGAUGUUGUCACCAGCUCACUUGAUGGGAUUGUAGAGCUUAUGGCAAGGGGAGGUUCUACUUUUAGGUUUGUUGUGAACCUACAGGGAAGGACUUGUUCAUGUAGAGCGUGGCAAGUUUCUGGAUUACCAUGUAGGCAUGCAAUUGGCUUUAUCACCUCUAUACCUGGAGAGAAGAUAGAAGAUCAUGUGGACAACUACUACCUUGUAGAGAGCUUCAGGGCUGCAUAUGAUCCUAUAAUCCCAGCUAUACGAGACAAAUCCAUGUGGCCCAAAGCAGAACAUGGUUUCUUCAUGCACCCUCCAUUGUUGAAAUCAACGGCUGGUAGAAGGCAAAAGAGUUACAAGGGAGCAUUAGAGGGUGGUAGCAAAGGAGCCAAGGUUAGGCAUCAUUGUCCAAUCUAUCAAGAGUAUGGACAUCAUUGGUACACUUGUAAGGAUGGUGACCCAUAAGACAAAGCGGCAAUGCUUGCUGAAAGGUAACAUGGAACAAACUAUGUAAUUAUUUUUGCAUGUUUGCUUCAUUGCUAAUUGGUCACAUAUCUAUCCAUGUAGCGAACUCUAAAAAAAAUAUCUAUCCAUGUAGGUCCACCUAAAAAGAAGAAAAAGAAGAUAAAACCUGCUACUACGGAGGCCAACAUUGUGCCUGCAGCAAGGAUGGUCUUUCCGGUUCUACCUACUGUUGCGGAUCUACCAAAGAAAUGGAAGAACAAAUCAUCCUCAUCAACUAAUGCUAAGAAACAAAAGAGUAUUUCCAAUACUUCAACUACUGAGGCUAGUGCCCCCUUUGUGAGGUAAGCUAAUUCCCUAUAAUUUUCUUUUCACUAUUUUAAUAGGUUAACUGACUGUUUUUACUCAUGUCUCCUUUUUCCAGAGGGUCUGGAACAAGAUCGAAUCAGCUAGAUCCUUUGGCGAUUAUGUACCCUUCUGGAACAAGUCAGCAGCAACAAAAGAAGAAGAAGAGGGCCAUUCAGAAAAACAUUGACUCCACACAAGGCUAGUCCAGCCAUGUCAACCCGCAGCAAGGUCCCUAUAGAUCCCCUUCUAGUCCAGCCAUGGGAACUAGAAGCAAGAAAAAACUUGAUCUUUGAUGAGUUUCCAUCACUCUAGCAUGCUUUUGUAGUGAUACUUCAGUUGUGCAUGACCAAACACUGUUUAAACUAGUAAUGAGGUCAAUGUGACCAUUUUGUGUGCAAACUUGAUUUUGUAAUCAAGCUAAUUAUGCACGUUGAUGAUAAAUUUAGACCUCUUUAUGCCUAAAUGUAUUUAAUUUGAAUACUAUUGUGGUUUUCGCUAUUGUCGGAUAUUUUGGAUGCAUUUUAAGUUUAUUUUAAUUACUGUAAGAGCUUGUGUGUGUGUGCACAGCUAACGGCUUGUGUAACAGUGAGUUUCUUUUCUAUACUGGUGUAGAGAAAAAAGUGAUGUUUUUAAUCACAGAAAGUUACAGUGGCACUAGAGGAAAGAUCGAAACUUUUGAUGCAUUCUAUAACUAAGGGAAAAGAUUCUUUUCCGCUGGAUGUUAACUAUUGUUACAUGCAAAUUUUAACGGAAGUGGCACACAUGUAAAAAAAACUUCAAUGAAGAAUACUUAGGAACUUAAAUUUUCAAUGGCACGUAGGUCAUUUGAUAUUUUAUAAGGGCACAUAGGUAAAAGCCUCCGAUACCCAGGGCAUCCAAGUCGUUCAUUUGAUGAAUCAUGUUCCCCUUAAUUAAUUUGGGGCCUUUUAGCACUGUUGUUCACUACUUGUAACGCUUAAGGGCAACUCCGACCAAUCCCUCAAAAUUUGACCCCCUACACCCACAAAUAAGGAUCUCUCAUCCAGAUUUCAGCUUCCUGUUCUCCAACCAAACUCUCAUUUCAGGCUCCCUAUUUUCCCUCACCUAUAUUUUAUACAUAAAACGUAACUACCAAUUCUAACAUUUUGUAUUUAAACCAUGUUAGUAUUAUUGCAAUGCAUAUUUUUUAACGGUAACUUUGUAUGGCUUAAUAUUGGUGGAAUUAUUUUUUUAGAUAAUUUUCAAAAUUUAACUUUUGGUUUGUCAGUCUUAGAAUGGCUAUGUAUUUGAAAUGACACUCUUCCAAGUCGUUCUUUCAACGGCUAUAAAUCAAACGGUCGCUCUAUCUCCAAUGGUUAUAUUUUCCAGUCUAGAUAUAUGUAUUGUCAUUCUCUUUCCUGAACCAAUUUCGAUAUUGCACCAUGAGUCAUCUCUCCCGACUAGAAUCAUCUUCCUCAUUCAAUGAUGGUGAUGAUGUUCUUGAGAAAAUCCUUACUGCAUUACACCAAGCACACUUAAUACCAAGCUCUCAAUGGUCCACGAUGGGGUGGUUUAUACCUGGGCGUCAUUGUAUUCAUCGGGACAGAGAAAGUGGGCAUUGGAGGUUAUACAAUGACUAUUUCUUAGAAAAUCCAACCUAUGGGUCACCUUUCUUCUGGCGUAGGUUCACUAAUAGCAUGUUAAUUUUUGUGUAACUUCUUUCCAUAUUCCUAUGUCCAUGUUUGCCUAGUUUGGAUUUGUCCCUCAGGUUUAGGAUGUCUCAUUCACUAUACUUUCACAUAAUGCAAGUUGUAGAGCAACAUGAUAAUUACUUUGAGCAGAAAAGAGAUAGAGUUGGACGGCUCGGGUUAUCAUCUUUGCAAAAGAUUACUGCAGUUUUCCAAAAGAAAGGAUGUGGAAAGAGCUUUUGGGGUUCUUCAAGCUCAAUUUUCCAUUGUUCGUGGAACAACUCAUAUGUGGGAUAAAGCAACACUUAGGCAACUAAUGACAGCUUGUGUCAUCAUGCAUAUCAUGAUCGUUGAAGACGAGCGAAGUGAAGCCAGCGACCUACUCCACCUAAAGUUCAUAAUCGUAAACAAGAGUUCCGUGAACUCCUACAAGCUCAUCACAAUAUCAGAAACAGGCAAAUGCACACCCAAUUUCAGAAAGAUCUUAUCAAGCACCUUUGGCAGCAUCACGCGGACAUGUAUCAAUAUUGAACCUUCAUAUCCAUGUAGUCUUGUACCAUUUAUUUUUUUCAAUCAUGUAUCAGUCUUGUACCAUCUAUUUUUUUUCAAUCAUGUAUUAGUCAUGUACCCUUUCAAUCAUGUACCCUUUCAAUCAAGUAACAGUAGAGUACCUUCUAUUUCAUCAAUCAUCUCCGCACAAAUUAACAGAGUUCCGUAAUUUGGCGCACAAAUUGUUCUUAUAGAGUUCCGUAGAUAACAAACAAGCUGGUAAAUAAUUUAAAUAAACAUUGUCCAUAGUUCACACAUAGAAAACAAAUAAACAUGAUGCACCACAACGACAAGCAAUGAUCUCAUUCUGUAAUGUCUUAUAAAAUACAUGUUGUCGCUCACUCAGACCAUUAAGGUCCAUCUUCAUAAUUUUCUCAUCAACUUCUCUCUAUGUCAACUCUAUUUCUCAUUGCAUUAAAUCUAGCUUCCUAUUAUAUACUUGUUGCUUCAUUUCAAGCAUUCUAGUCCCUACAACAAGCCUCUCGUCAUUACGUUCUUUUUUUUCUUAACCUCCCUCAUCUCUUCAUCCUUUUUCUCUCUUUGCCCACAAUUUUUCCAUUGCCUCCAUGUAAAGGCCUUCUCCUUGAGAGCUAGGAUUUUUACCUCUGUGUGCUUUCUCCUUCUUCUUACCAUCUGGCCUUCCUUUCCUUGGUGAUGUAUGACUUGGUCCAUCCUCUUCAUCAGCACACUUACUUUCAUGAGUUCCUGGUAUACAUGACCCUUGGACUUGCAGUUGAGGAACUCUUGUGUUUUUUUAGAGCUUUGAGAGGUCUCAGAACCUAGAUCAACCCACUUCUGCUCAUAUUGUAGCUUAGUCCAGCAGUGCAACAAAGUAAAUGGUUUCCUCUCUGGAUCUUUUUCCUGAUACAUUUCCUUUGCCCAUUCUAUCUGCACAAGAAACAUGUGUUGGCUACCAUGGACAAAAGAUAUACAUUUUCAAUCAAUUAACAGAACUAAAGAACUUACCUUAUCUUGCUCUAUCAGCCCACUUUCUCUUCUAUUCUGAACUUGAGUAUACCAUCUGCAAAAUCUAUUAACACUUUCAUGGAUGAUACCCCAAUGGUGAGAGAGAGAGAGACCUAAUUACACUCUGACUCAAAAGUCUUGUGCUCAUGAUAGUAAUCAUGAAUUCCCUUCCAAUAGGUACUAUAAGUUUGAUCAGUGCCUUGAGCUGGAUCCAGGCUAACUUCUAGCCAUGCUCUUACCAACAUAUUGUCUUCCUGGGGAAUGAAAUUUCUAGUCCUCUUCUUACUUGGUUUCAUGGGGGAGUACAUUGUUCAACAUGUGUUUCACCUUGUGUUUCAACUUGAAACUCAUCAAAACAUAGAUCAUUCGUGUCGCCAUUGCAUGAGAGAAAAUUAACCCAGCUCUGCAUUGGUGUCCCCAUUGCCUGAGAUCCCAAAUCAACCCAACUCUGAAUAAUUUUAAGAACAUACAGAAAUCAACUUGAACAACUAAAUGAUAAGACCUUAAUUUAUCUACAACAACUAGAUAAUACUCAAUACUCAAUAGCUAUAAAAAAUCUCAUGAAUUUGAGAUAAGCUCUACCAGAAAUUUUGGCCAUCUCAUAAUCACAUAAUCUACAAAAGCAGAACUUUCUUUAGCUAUUAAAUAAAUCCAAAUAAUGGCCUAAAUGACACCUACAGGGCAUCAAGGGGCAAGCUGCAGCAGGUUGUUCUUCACCUAUUAAACAAAUCCAAAAUCCAUCGGCCACACAGUAAGGGGCGACCUGCACCCAGCCAUGCACAAAGGGGUGACCAGCAUGUGCGAAAAUCUAGGAGGCCGGGAUACAGGGGCUAGCAGACGGCGGCUCCAGUAGGCUGCGCAGCAGGUUGCGAGCUCCAGCAAGUUGCCAAGCAUGGGCAAGCAGGAGGCAGAUUUUGCAGGUGCAGCAGCAGCGGCAACAGAAUAGAUCUACGCAGGCACUCGAGCAGCGGCGUCCAUGGGCAACGCCAAAACGAGAAGACGAGGAUGGGGACAUACUGGCUCCGAGAACUCUAGGGGGAGGCUGGAAGACGGCCAUUAGUCCUCUCGCGGAUGAGGCUCUGGAUCGGAGUGCCUCAGAUGUGGCGGAUGAGGAGAGAGAAAUGAGCAUCCUCAUCCUUUGGGGUUCUCAUAGGAGAUCGGUUGGAGAACUAUUUUUAUGUUUUGAACCCUUAAAAUGAGAUGAGGACUGGGAUAGGACCUUAGCUAGAGUUGCCCUAAUGCAAGCUAUAUUCUAAGUUUACUUUCAGAAUAUAUACAUCUAUCAAGGUUAGCUAUACGGUACUUCAUUUCAAAUUGUAAGACAUUUUUGUUUUCCUACAUACAAAACUAUUGUUAUAUACGGAUAUAGAUUAUGUCUAGAUUGUCACACCCGGUUUUAAAGAACAAAACCAGGCUAGCCAUAUGUGUGCCCAGAAAGUCUACACAUACACCAACAGAAUGAAAUAUAUCAGAAACAAUGUUAUAUAGCGGAAACAUACUUGUAAUUAACACUUACAUCAGAGUAUCGUGGAACGGUAACUAAUCUUCACGCUCAAUCCUCACAGGGACGGCUGACUGGGGGCUGCGUAUGCCAUGCACUUUUGAUAGAUUCUUGAGAACGUCCUUCGUGACUCCAUCACUCUUCUGAUCAACUCUUACUAGUAAACUAGAGUGGUGGGAAAUAGCAAGAAUGAGCACAUGUCGUACUCAACAAGUAUAACCAGGGAUUCAUUGUUAGAUAUUUACGCAAUUUCCAUAUCAUUUUAAUUCCAUAAAUCAAUAUUAUGAUGAUGACAUAUAUAGUAUAAUUAAUCAUAGAAAUCAUAAUAUUAAACAUGUUCAUAGGAAUAUAGAACAUGUGAUCCAUGAACAUGUAGAACAUGUGAUUAUUAAAAAUAUAAAAGCAUAAUAUAUGAAAUAUAAUGACAAGGCAAGACAUAUAUCUUAAAAUAGCAAUAAAUAAGAGACUCCAUGUUCAACGACGAAACAGAACUACUGAAACAUAAACAUAUGAGAAACAGUAUAUCAAACGACGUGACUUAACCACUAUUGAAACAUAGAGACAGCAACAUAUGAAAUGUUUUAACUUAACCAGCGAAACAAGCAGACAUGACAUAGCUCUUACAACAGAAACAUAUAUAAGAUAAAAACAGAGAAGAUAUGGUGGAACAUACAAAACAUAUCCAGGAUAGUAUGCGCAACAAUAUAAAUACACUACUGCAACAUAUACGGACAGGAAGACGAAACACAACAGGAAGAUGAACGGAUCAUACCCUCCCAUGCGCUCCGAUGAUCCCGAUGCUUGACCAAUUUCCAUGAUGUAGAGGAUGAAGACGAUCUUUCCACUGUGAAGAAGAAAUCCACCCAAACCAGCUUGAGGAAGAUGAACAGCGGUGGUGGAUUGGGCAGUCGCGUAGACGCCACCCUAAAAACCUAAUUGCUGAUCCCUCGUGCAAGGUCUUGAACGACAAGGGCUUCGGAGGCACCUGCCCUCUGCUCCUCCGUGUGCCGAAGUUACAAGAUGGGGAUUUCUUCUUUGUAGCAGGAUUGUGUUCUGAGUUGUGUGUUGUGUGUAUCCAAGACCAAAGGCUCAUGUCCUCUUUAUAGCCUUGCGGUAGGAGAGGGAGGAGAGGAAGGGAUGGCAGCCGAAAAGACAGCAAUUGAUGAAUUUAACAUGGAGUUGAAACUCCUGUAAUUAGUGAGUGUUAAAACUUAACACACCACAUCACUACACCGCAUGCCUGCCUGCCUGGCUCCCCCCGCCUCGCCAUGCCCACGCCACUCUCCGCUCGGCCUGGCCAGGAGCUGCGGCGUCAAGGUACUCUUGGAAUUCUAAUCUGGUACAACUCAUAUUAUCCAUAAUUACAUACCAUAGAGUUUAUUUGAUUUAUUAAAUUUAAAUUAGGCCUAGCCCAAAAUAAAUCCAACAAUCCCCACCAAACUCUAGGGUUUGUAAUGAUGAAGUAUCAGAAUCACAAUUCUUUGAUAUACCAGUGUUUCGAUGGAAACUGUUAAGUUGAACAUCCAUCUAGAAUAAGAGUUUCACUCACUCACAACUGAACAAUGGACUAAGCCUUGAAUUGACAGUUUUGUAUGAGAUGAGAUCUACUCCAGUCCUUAGCUGAUACUAGGCUACACGAGGCAUCGCCGCUGUUUUGAAGCAUAUAAGUCACACUUCAGUGCCUUUCAUGAGUAUUUAGGGAUUACCCAAGUCCCAUAGACUGUGACCAGCAGUCUGACUCAUAUAAGUGUACUCCUCAAAAGAUGUUCUGUAGGACAACAUCUCACCUUUAAAAGACUCUUGCAAUACAUUAAGGUAAAUACCAUCCUGCCUUACAGAUAGGAAAGAUGUGCAUCAGAAAUGAGUCAAGAAAGGGAUCUUUCCUCUCAAUCUACUACUAGCUUGUUUCACCACUCUACUUCACGGGAUCUCCGAUCACAUAGAGCAGGUUACCACUACACUAGAUUUCACGUGGGUCUCAUACCCAUUUCUCUCAAUGCACUUUCUAUCACAUUGUGUGACAGACCCUUAGUGAAUUGAUCUGCCAAAUUAUUCGACGUGUGGACAUAAUCCACCGUUAUAAGAAGAGGUUUUCAGCUUUAUGACAGAUUUUAAUCUUCUUUUCACAUGCCUUGUAGACUUCAUGUUGUUCCUAGAACUAUUGACCUUUGUAAUUACAUUCUGGUUGUCACAGUUCAUGGAGAUAGUCGGUAUCGGUUUUUCAACUACCGGUAAAUCCAUUAGGAGUUCACGAAGCCACUCGGCCUCAGCCCCGGUAGUGCCUAAUGCUGCGAGUUCUGCUUCCAUUGUAGACUUCGUUAUGAUAGUCUACUUGCAAGACUUCUAGAAAACAGCACCACCUCCAAGCAAGAACACAUAUCCGCUCAUGGCAUACAGCUCGUCAACAUCAGAAAUCCAGUUGGCAUCACAAAAGCCUUCUAGCACUCUGGGGUUCCCAGUAUAAUGAAUACCAUAUGUCAUAGUACCUUUUAGAUAGCGCAACACUCUCUCAAGAGCACGCUAGUGAUCAUCUCCUGGUUUUGAAACAAACCGACUCAGCUUGCACACAGCAUAUGAGAUGUCAGUCCUUGUUGCACUCGCAAGAUACAUGACUGAACCAAUGAUCUGGGAGUAUGUCAAUUGAUCCCUUGCAAUUCUCCUAUUUUUCCUCAAUAGCAUGCUAGGGUCAUAAGGUGUAGGAGCAGGAUCACAGUCACUAAAACCAAAGCGACUCAAUACAUUUUCCACAUAAUGGGAUUGGAACAAAGUUACCCCACCAUCACCUUCUCUGAUAAGCUUGAUGUUAAGAAUGAUAUCAACUUCUCCCAAAUUUUUCAUAUCGAAAUUACUUGAUAAAAGUUUCUUUACUUCCUCAAUCUCAUUGAGGUUUGAUCCAAAGAUCAAUAUGUCAUCAACAUAAAGGCACAACAUAGUGACCUCACCCCCACCAUAUUGAUAAUACACACAUAUGUCAGCUUCAUUCACAACAAAGCCAGUAGUAGUGAGAGUAUCAUCAAACUUUUCAUGCCAUUGCUUAGGUGCUUGUUUUAGGCCAUACAAUGAUUUUAACAACCUGCACACCUUAUUCACUUGACCAUCCGCAAUGAAUCCUUCUGGCUGAUCCGUAUAGAUCUCCUCAUCCAACUCUCUGUUAAGGAAAGUUGUCUUAAUAUCCAUCUGAUGAAUGAUAAGACCAUAAGAGGCUUCCACAACUAUUAAUGUGUGAAUUGUAGUCAAUCGAGCCACUAGUGAAUAGGUGUCAAAGAAAUCUUCACCCUCCUUUUGGGUAUAUCCUUUGGCCACAAGCCUUGCCUUGUAUCUCUCAAUUGUACCAUCAGGCCUAAGCUUUUUCUUAAAGAUCCACUUGCACCCUACAGGUUGACAACCAUAAGGACGGUUAACGACCUCCCAAGUUCCAUUAGACAUAAUAGAAUCCAUCUCACUCCUUACUGCUUCCUUCCAUAAGUCAGCAUUAGGAGAGGAAUAUGCCUCUCUAAUGGUGGUUGGUGUGUCUUCCAUAAGGUACACUAUAAAGUAAUCACCAUAGGAUUUUGCAAUCCUUUGUCUUUUGCUCUUUCGAGUGACUAUAGUGUCAUCCUCCUCAGGGAUGUGCAUGUGAGUCUCCUCAGCAUGAUCUAUAGGAAUAGACAAUUCUUGCUCAUGGGGUAUUAUAGUCUCAUGUCUUGUUUUACUAGGUGUAUUUUUCAUGGGAAACUCAUUCUCAAAAAAUGUAGCGUCUCUUGACUCUAUGAUAGUAUCAACAUACAUAUCAGGCACAUUAGAUUUUAUAAUCAAGAACCUAUAUCUAGUGUUGUGGAAAGAAUAGCCUAGGAAAACACAAUCAACAGUUUUAGGCCCAAGUUUUUGCUUUUUGUUGACUGGCACAUUCACCUUAGCCAAGCAACCCCAUGUGCGCAAAUAUGAGAGAUUUAAUCUUCUCUUUUCCCAUUCCUCAAAUGGUGUAAUCUCUUUGUCCUUUGCUGAAACUCUAUUCAGGACAUGACACGCUGUCAAAAUUGCCUCACCCCACCAUUCCUUGGAUAAUCCCGCUGAACUCAACAUGGCAUUCACCAAAUCAGUUAGAGUGCGGUUUUUCCUUUCAGCAAUCCCAUUGGAUUGUGGUGAGAAUGGAGGUGUCCUCUCAUGAACAAUUCCAUGUUCCACACACAACUCAUCGAAAACAUUAGAGAAAUAUUCUCCACCUCGAUCAGACCUUAACCGUUUUAUUUUCCUCUCAAGUUGGUUCUCAACUUCAGCUUUAUGGGUCUUAAAAUAAUUAAGUGCUUCAUCUUUUGUUUUCAAGAGAUACACAUAGCAAAAGCGUGUGGAGUCAUCUAUAAAAGUGAGAAAUUAUCUUUUACCGCCUUUUGUCAAAAUUCCAUUCAUCUCACACAGAUCAGAAUGAACAAGUUCAAGAGGUGCCAAACUCCUCGCCUCAGCAGCCUUGUGAGGCUUGCGGGGUUGUUUUGAUUCAACACAUACAUGGCACUUAAACUUUUUGACCAAGUUGAAUUUAGGAAUUAAAUUUAGAUUUGCUAGCCACAUAAGACAACCAAAACUUGCAUGACAAAAGCAUGAAUGCCAUAAAUCUGACUCAUCAAAAAUAUUAACAGAAUUCACCAUUUUAUUACACUCAUCAUGCAAAGAUAAGUGGAACAAGCCUCCGCAAUCAUAUCCUUUACCAACAAAGAUACCAUGUUUCGACACAGCAUAUUUAUUUGACUCAAGAACAACUUUGUAGCCAUCUGUACAUAACAUAGAUGCGCUAACAAAAUUCUUCUUUAUGGAGGGCACAUGCUGCACACUCUUCAAUGGCACUGUAUUCCCUGAAGUAAACUUUAGAAUGACUGUACCAACACCAAGAACAUGAGCAUGCGAUCCAUUUCCCAUCAACAAGGCGCCAGAUCUUCGACCUGAUAGGAAGAAAAUAAAGAUACAUCAGCACACACAUGAAUAUUUGCACCACUGUCCAUCCACCACUCAGGUGAAUUACAAACUGAAAGAAUAAAUGGUAAAGAAUUACCAUACCUAGAUGUUCCAUCUUCAGUUUCAGUAGUUACAACAUUAGCUGAUUUCUUGUCCUAUGUGACCUUGCGAUCAGGGCACUCUCUAGCACAGUAUUGAUCACUACCAUAGACAAAGCAUCCUCCUUUUCCCUUAUUGUUGUUGCUCUUCUUUUUAAACUGUGUUGUUUGAACAGACUUAGGUGUAUUCUCUUGCUUGUUCUGGUUUUUCUUCUUGUUAAACUUGCGGAAUUUCCUCUGCACCACAUUAGCAGAAGAUGUCUCAAUACUUUUCCCAAUGUCCUUUGUUAUAGCCCUCUCCUCAAUAUCAAGAGUACAAAUGAGCUCUUCCACAUUGAACUCCUAUCUCUUAUGUUUGACCGAGGUGGCAAAGUCCUUCCAAGAAGGUGGUAACUUGGCGAUUAUACUGUCAGCCAUGAACUUGUCAGGCAAAGGACAAGGAAAAAGUUCAAGUUCCUUAGCUAGUGACUGAAACUCAUGAGCCUGUUCCACUACAGAUUGGUUCUCAACCAUCUUGUAGUCAUAUAGCUGCUCCAUGAGAUACAGCUCGCUGUCAGCAUCAGUAACUCUAAACUUUCCAACAAGUGCAUCCCACAGGUCUUUACAUGUAGGGAUAAUGAUAUAGCUUUUCUGGAACUUUAUGUCAAGUGCGCUAAUAACUACACCUCGAAAGAGGAUGUCAUCAGCCAUAAACUUAGCCUCAUUCUCAGGAGACAAGUUAGCAGGCUUGCCCUCAGCGGCAUGAUAACAUGACAUGACAGUUAUGAAAGGUCCUUGUUUGGUUUUGGUAAUUGAGUGACAACUUAGGUGGACUAAUAGUGUUUAUGUGAGAUACACAGGAGAUUAGUCCACAGGUGAUUAUGUGAUGAUGAAGGUGCUCAUUGCAUAUGAGACAUGACAUGGAGUCAUCUGAGAAACACAGGAGAUCGGCGCUUUUGAGAAAAUUAAGUGUAUAUUUUCUAUUGCAGCGGUGGGAAAUUUGGAGAAGUUGCAGACUGAGAAACACUCAUAGGACGCAGGUGUUGGUAGCACCGGACGCUGCCCCUACGCGUCCGGUGAGGUGUCUGACUCUAGCGCGUGUGAGCCGAGCACACCGGACGCUAGCCCCGGAUGCGGGUAGGACACUAUUCGCACGUCCAAUGUGAGGUGACGUCAGCAAGUGUGUGUGAGGUGUUUCUGACUAAAGAGCACCGGACGCUCAGGGUGCGUCCGGUGGCUCGCGUUCGGUGACCCUGCGAGUUUGUGGAGCUCUCUGCGUACGGAUCCGGUGGGCACCGGACGCGUCCGGUGUGGACCAGUAGAGCUUCCUGUGGUUGUUGACGGUUCUUAAGUAUCAAUUUUAAUCAUGAAAUAAAUAAGGGAAAGGACCAAUAUACAAACAACACCUAGAAUUAGGGUUUGAUCUGACAGAAUUCCACAAGUUUUGCUGUUUAUCUAUUUCUACAGGGGGUUAUCAGGAAAUAUGGAAGAAAGGCCCACACGUCGGGUUUACAUAGAGAUAUUAACGUGCACCGCAAUUAUUCAACAUCUAGAAGAGUCCAGAAGCCAUGGGAACGAAUGGGAGGCCGAUCGGGCCCGGGGGCAGGGCGCCCGCCCUCCCCCCUUGGGCGCCCGCCCACCUCUGGUGGCCAAUCAGGGUGAAUCACUCGGAUUAUGCUCCACCGCCAUUGAGGAUCAAGGAGAACCGUUCAAUCAAUGUCGGUUUGAUCUGACGGCCCAGAUUCAUUUGAAAGGACUAUAUAAGCAAGGCCCCUGGCCCCUGGAUAGGAGAAUCCCAUUAUUCAUUAGCAUAUUUUCUAGAGAGGAUUCAGAGAGAGAGGUUCCUUAGGGUUCCCACCUCAUAGGGCUUAGCAUCCAAUGUGAGAGUAGACUUAGUUCUACUAGAUUGAGAGAGAUAGAGUGGAGGUGUAGAUCGGAGGAAGCCUGGCCUGUCGGUGUCUACUCUGAGGUUGUACCUGCGGGAUCAAGUCUCCUACCCGAGGCUUGCUUCUAGGAUUCUUCAGUAUUUCGACUUCUAAAUUCUAGAUUGUUCUUUGGUUUAUGAGUUUACUUUGAUCUCUUCGUGUAGAAUUUAGAGUAAUCAUCUCUAGCGUAAACGUGGUGUUUGGGCUAGGAUACUCAUAGAUAUCCCCUGACUAGCUGGACCAUGGUAGUAGCGAGGAACGUGACAUUUCCGAGUUACCUUUGUAGCCCAUAUCCCGUUAGUAGGAUUGAUAGGGUUUAUAGGUGCGAGUUGAACAUCCUCUGUGGUGUCCAGAUUCCGUGAGCCUCCCCAAUAGAAUAGUAGAUCAUCCUUACCAAGGUUAGAACGAGAGUGCGGUUGUAGUCUUCUCUAUACAUCACUCACAUCGAAUCACAUAGUUUGUAGCCUAAAGGUUAGUAGUAAUAGACCGGGUUAGUCAGAUGCACGCUUUCUCCUAGUGGUAAAAAUAUAAAUACAAUACUCUGGAUAAUAUCCCGGGUGAAGUGCUCACCGAUAUCCAUGCGCUUGCGGAUAAAUUUCUGAUUGCGUUACCAAAUAUCAACAAGCAUUUCUGGCGCCGUUGCCGAGGAGAAAGACGGUUUGCUGAGAUAACCUUGAGUCUUACUACUAGCUUGUAUUUAUACUUUUAUCCUUUUUCUUAUAUUUUUAUAUUCUUUAUUUUUCUUACUCUUACCUUAUGGAAAACCAAUAUUCUAAAUCGAUCUAUCAAUUUGCAGCACCCUCGGUAAGUGACCUUUUACCAUGGGAGUCAUCACAGCCUAUCCAAACAUCCCAGUAUAGGUUAAGUUCCAGGUUGAUUGCCAUGAUUCAAACCUAUCCUUUUUAGGAAAGGAAGACGAAAACCCUUACCUUCAUUUUAGAUAUUUUGAGCAAACAUGUGAUUGUCUUCGCAUUGAAGGCAUUUCUGAUAAGACUUUACGUUGGAAGCUUUUUCCUUUUUCUUUAAGGGGAGAAGCUAGACGAUGGUAUAGUCAGAAGGUAAGUCAACAACAAGGUGAAUGGGGAGUCUUACGAGCCAACUUUUGUCUAGAUUUCUAUUCCCUCGACCGUAUCGGCGACCUUAGACUCGAAGUCCUAUCUUUUAAACAAAAAGAUAAUGAAACUUUGGGAAAAUCCUGGAAACGUUUUUCUGACCUUUUAGAAUCUGGUCCAAACCUUAAUCUUGAAGACCCUGUUCUUUUAUUUCACUUUUUUCGAGGUCUUCAGAAAGAUCAUAAACAAAUGCUACAUACAAUGUCUAGAGGUUCUUUCUUUCAUAUCCCUACUGAUGAUGCUAGAGCGAUCCUAGAUAGAAUCCUAGAAGCUGAGAUGGAUAAUACCCUUCAUCAUGAAACCCACGAAGCUGAAGUUCACACUCUGCCAAAUUCUUCAUCUACUUUAGCUAUCCCAAGUUCUAAGCCACAAAAGGAAGAAAUUUCACCACAUGAUUUCAUGCUGGAUAUAGAAUCUGAUCUUUUUGCCGAUUUUGGGAACAUUUCAAACUACCAUUCUAUAGACAGACCCCAAAACGACCAUUUUAGCAUUUGUUUACCAAGUCAACAUCAAUUGAGAGAGCUUAUCUCAGCUAUGAGUAGCGAAUGGUUAGAGGAGUCAGAGCUUUGCUCUGAUGUGAUCCGUUUGGACACACCUCCUAUAACUAUACGUUGUGCUUAUGAUUCUAAUGAAUUUGAUGCUCUCUAUAAUCCUGUUGUGGGGAUCAACAUCAUGUCUGAAUCUUUUGCACUUAAAUUAUUUGGAAAACUGGUCUUAACCCCCACAACAAAGGUCAUAAAGGAAUCUUCGGGGCGAUUAGUCCGCAGUCUUGGAAUUAUUAAUGUCCUACCCUUAUUGGUAGAAGGCUCCAUGGUUCAUUUGAACUUUUAUAUCUUUGAUAUAUGAGACUUCGACCUGUUGAUAGGACAACCUUUUAGAAGACUCCUUUAUGAAGGUCAUACCGGAAAGCUACACAUUUCUUUUGGAAAAGCUUUUAAAUUUCCAAUAACGAUUUCGCACUCCUUAAAUAAUAAGACCGAGUCAUAUCUUUUGCCCGAUCCUAUGGAGGAGGUAAAGGCUGCAUCUCUAGAGCUUUUAGAUGAACCAAAGUUAGAAGAAGAAGCUCCUUUAUUCAUAGAAGAAGAAGCUGAACCUUCUGAACCUGAACCCUUAGACGAGUUUGCAGAAACACCUAGACCUCCAAUAGAGCUUAUGUUGACACCGUUUUUGACACGUACCCAGGGACCAGUAGAGUAUAGAUCGGCAGGUGGAGCAAUGGUAACUAGUCUGCAGAAGAGUUGCCGAUGAGGAUAGUUGCCGAUGAAGAGACGAUUGAAUAUGACUAAGUCCAGAGGUGGUGACGUGUUCUUGCCGAUGAUCAAUAUUGGUGUUUGCCGAUGGCAAUAACACGAAGACUGCCAAUGACUCUGAAGGAAAGCAUGGAGGUUGUCAAUUGAUCUGUGGCGGAGUCCCGGUCGGUUACAAGGGGUUAGUUUUAUGUUUUCCUUAGUUAUUUAAAUUUGUUUUGUAUACGAAUUCUGUUUAAUUUGGAAUUCGAGUCCUAGUCGUGUCUGAUUGUAGCUCUUUGAGCAGGGUAUAAAUGUAGACCCUAGGGCCUUGUAAUGAUAUGUCUAUCAAUCAAUCAAACACAAGUUUUUACUCAUAUUCCAGCAUCUACUUUUUCGACGACUUCGUCAUAUUUUCCUUUGAAAGGAUCAAGAUGCCCAAAAGGGGGGUGAAUUGGGCUUCUCUAAAAAUUUAAGCAGCCUAUAAGUUCCAAUUCAACCCCUUGUGCCUAGUGUGACCUAGAGAGCUACCAGAUAAAAGUUUUGCAACCUAGUUCCAAUCCUAUUCUAGCAUGGCAAUACUAAGAAUGUAAAAACACAAAGUAAAUGCUAGAAUGUAAAGGAGUAGUGGAAGAAAGUGCUCGACGAUGUUUUGCCGAGGUAUCGGAGAGUCGCCACUCUCCACUAGUCCUCGUUGGAGCACCCGCGCAAGGGUCUUGCUCCCCCUUAGUCCGUGCAAGGACUAAGUGCUCUCUACGGGCUGAUUCUUUGACACUCCGUCGCGGUGAAUCGCUCAAAACCGCUCACAAGCUUGACACGAGCCACCCACAAGAACUCCGGCCAGUCUUCGUGCCUCCAAUCACCACUGAACUGUCUAGGUGAUGGCGAUCACCAAGAGUAACAAGCAAAGAACUCUCACUUGACCCAAACAAGGCUCUAGAGAGUGAUGGAUGCACACUUGACUCUUGAAACUCACUAGAGAAGGAUUCUCUCAAGAAAUCACGCAAAACUCAAUCCUCUCUAGGCUCUUGCUACUCUCUCCCUCCACAGUAAGUUUCUCAGAUGUUCAAAUGGGCAAGAGACCUCUCAUGGAGGAGAUGGAGGAGUAUAAAUACUACCCACGAAGUCCAAAGGUCAGCCAACCGUUUCCACUGAAAACGGGGUCACCGGACGCUCUUUAUGUUGCACCGGACGCUCUGCACCGAGCGUCCGGUGCUCCAUAACGGCUAACUGUACUUGCGUCUGACAGGUCACCGGACGCUAACUCUCAGCGUCCGAUGCACCAUCCGGUGCUCCGGGGAGUUUUACAUGCUCCCUACGCAUGGGACCGGACGCUACACGGUGAGUCCGGUGCCAGCGUUCGGUGCUUAACCCUAAGCACCGAGAACUCCCAACAGCUAAGGACCUCACCAGACGCACUCACAGAGCGUCCGGUGCAGCGUCCGGUGCCCUUUUGGGCACCCUAACUUCGUCGAAACACGAUCGCUCCAAAACGAAGUUGGUUCCUCUCGAUCUAAGGACUAUCUCUGAGCAGCCUAGAGCUAGGUUUACCAAGUGUGCACCACACCUAAACCUAAAGCCUUGUCUAAGUCAAGCUACUAGAUCAGAGCCCCUCUUAAUAGUACGGUCAAAGGAAAACAAAGUCCUAAACUACUCUAAGUGCCCUUCUUCACCAUAUGGCACUUAGACCUAGUCUAGUCUUGACGAUGUCCAUCCAUCCUUUGAACACCAAAAUGAUUUUCACUAUUAAGUAGGCACGUACGUCCCUGUCCAUCGAGCACCUAUUUACCAUGACCUUACCUAUGACUUUGCCUCUGCAAAACACACGUUAGUCAUAGUAAUCAAUAUUGUCAUUAAUCACCGAAAUCACUAGGGGCCUAGAUGCUCUUUCAAUCUCCCCUUUUUGGUUAUUGAUGACAAUAACCUCGAAUAGGAAAAGAGUUGAGGUUUUCAAAUGACUUGGUUUCAAUAAGCAUGAUACAAUAAGAACAAAGAGAUUAGGCUUGUUUAUAUAAACCAAGUCCAACAUCCUGCAUCCACAUAUGUGAGUGGUAUACAACAGGAUAACAACACAAGGCUCAAAAGUACAUCGGAGUAAAAACGCAGAAGCAAGGGUAAAAUAUGAGCCAAAAAACAUGAAGCAUGACAUUAAGAUAUCACAUUAAGCACAAGUCAUGUCUCACAACCAUAGAGUAUCUCACACAAAAGCAAUGCAUAAAAGUAAACGUGAUGCAUGAUGGAGUAGCACACAUAAGAGUAUCUCAAAAGAAUAAGUAAAAACCCUCUCUAGCUCUCUGGCUCCCCCUAACUCCUCACUCUCAUACUCACACUCUCUCCCCCUUUGGCAUCAAGCGCCAAAAACCUAAGAAGACGGAGGAGGCGGUGGAGCAGUGCAGUUCCUCGGCACGGCCUCGAAGCGAGCUGCAUCGUCUGAACCGUCGGCCGUCGAGGCGGAGGAGGUGGAGUGACCCUCUGAAGCUGUACGAGCUGGCGAAGCGGUCUAGGUCUGCUCUGGAGGUGCUGUCACUGGCUGUGCGGGCAGCUCGAGUCCUGCUGAAGAAGCUGGCACAGACUCGGUUGCUGUAGCGGAAGUCUCUGACACUGUAGAAGAAGGUGCUAGCUGCUCAGACGACGCUACUGACGACGACAGACGCUCUGUAGUGGUGACUGGCGCCGUAAAGGCUGCAGGAGCCUGCAGAGGUGGAGGCGUAGGGUCACCAGUCAGAGCACUGUAAGAGAAGCUGAGGUGCGGGUCUGUCGACGUGUCCAACACAAGCUGAGACGCUAACGCUGACUGUGGAGUAAAGCCAGAGCGGAGAGGCGUAAACUGUGGUACCUGCUCAAAGCCAGAGGAGAUAGCACCCUGGGAGACCUGGUGCUGAGGCGUCGAAAACAGCUGACUCUGAGCGGGUAGCUGGAGGGGCUGCUGAGACUGACUCUGAGUCUGAGGCGCUGGAGUGGGUGGCCUGACAGUCGAGGUGCCUGGGAGCUGAAUCUGUGGAAGCUGAAUCCCUGAGGCGGCCAUAAGAGCGGCCAUCUUCGCUGUCUACUAGGCCUGGAACGCAAGCUGCUGCUCCUGAAAAGUCAGAAGCUGUCGCUGGAGCUCAUCCUGCCUAGCCUGCAUGGCUGCAUUGAUGGCAGCGUGGUCCCUGUCUCUCCUCGCCUGCUCCUCAGUUGCUCGGCACUGAUCUGCCCUCAUACCCUCUAAGAUAGCAAGCAAGGCGGGGUCUGAACCACCCGAAGAGCCUCCUGCCUCGUGGUCGUGUGCUCUGGGGGAGAGGUCUGACAUUGGUGGCUGAUAAUCAUCAUCUGAGCUAUCUGAGGCGAAGUCAAACUCUCCCUCACCCUCUGCAUCUGCGAAAGCCCCAAUGGCUAUGUCCUGCUGCUCCUCGGUCUCUGGUACUGCUGCUGUACUGCGAGUGCCCCUAGGAGAAGGUGGGGGCACCGGGCCACAUGGUGCAUGAGGAGGUGGUGUAGCUCAGAGGUCGUGGUGUGCUCUCAACAUCUGCCUGGGGUCGUAGUGGGGGAAGACGGUGUCGGAGUCAGUCAGCUCUCUCUGGAGGUGAGCUGGCAGGGGAACUGGCCUAGCACGGAGAAUAAGCAAGGUGAUCCAAUGUUUGUAUGGCAACUGAUGCCGUCCCCUGAAGCUCUCGGAGAUAGUGUCCUCAAUCUCUAAGACUAUCAAAUCCCAUAGGUCAAACGGAGUCUGAGAGAUGAGGUGAGCGACGAGCCACUGCUGAAUCCGAGUGAAGCCGUCUCUGUAGCCUGUCCUGGGGAGAAGUGUCUUCCUCAACACAAAGUCGAGGAUCCUGGCUGGGCGUGUCAGGUCUCCCACUGUCCGGCUGGAGCCCUCUCCAAACGGUGGAUGGAAACAGGGAGCCACAAAGUCAACCGGUAGUAUCUCACCACCGUGAGGACGUCGAGGAGGCUCGAAGUUCCCGUAGCAAAGCUGGUGAAUCCUGGUGGAGUAAGCUCGCAGCCCAAGCAUCUCUCUGGCCCUCUGUGCUAUGACCCUGUAGUCAGUCCCUACCAGUGCGUAGUGGAUAUAACUGUGAUCAGGUGAAACCCACACUGAAGCAUAGAACUCUCUAACCCACUGCUCACAGUAAGUACCAGGGAGAGCUAGCAACUCUGGGAGGCCGAGGAGGUAGGUGAAGUACUGACGGAUAUCUGCUCCAACCACGUUCCCGAGUAUCUCAAGGUCAAUAACUUUGUGCUCCCUGAACUGAGAUUGAGAGCGAACCAGUGCCUCGUAGAUGUCCUCCUAGAUGACCGUGUAGAACCUGGCACCGGCUCGGGGAUCCCUAGCAGCUGGAAACCAGGUGGGAAACGGAACAAACCAUAGCUGCUGAAUCUCCCUAGCUGACACAAGGGUGAGGUCCUUGUGUAUCCUAACUGGUCCCUGACGAGAAGCUGGAGUGCCUCUAGCUGGUGUAGCACGAGCAGUGGAGGUAGACUGUCCCGGCGUACCAGACCGAGGAGUGGCCUGGGUACGUGUGCCAGUCGACCUCCUGAGAGGCUGCUCCUGUGUCUCUGCUGGACCCUGUCCCUGGGCCUCUGCCUCUGUAUCUGGAUCCUCCUGAGAUGGAUCUCUAACCACAAUCCUGACCCGCUGACCCCUAUCAUAACUAUGCCUGGAGGGGAUCCAUGGAGUGCCUCUGUCUGAAGAACUGCACGCCGCUGCUGUGGCGUGAGGUCAUCCCCAAUCCUCAGAGCACCUGAGCGUCCACCUCUCUCAGCUGCCUCAGCCGCUGCUGCAAUUGCCUCUGCCACCUCUGCCUCUCUAUCACUGGCCUUGCGCUUCUUGGUGGCUAGCUUCUUGCCCUUACCUUUUUCUGCCACUGAUAGGCGACGGGGAGGAUCACCUCCUCCAUCACCAUCUGAGGAACCUCCAGUGCCAGCUGCCGGACCACUAACGUUCUUGCAACGAGCCAACGCAAGAACAAACGACUGAAUGAACUGCCGGCAAAACAACCAACUGACAAAGGAGAUCUACGCGCUGCAGAAAAAUAGACAAGAUAGGGUAUAUAUAAGAAAUCAUAAUGACUAGAGGUGAGGAAACCCUAUAGAUCGCAAGAAAAGAUAAGGAACGGGCGCGAACGUCUUACGAUCCGAAGACGGGACGCGUUCCGGAUGAGAUGUUGCGAUCGAAGACUGCCGGAGAAUGUGAAACCUUUCCUUAAGAUGCUGCACAGGGGGAACGGAGAAGAUCGAGGUCAAAAACCUUUUUCUUAUCCAAUGAGACAAAAGCUCAAACACCUUAAGGGCAUGGAUCAAAAGACUCACCCAAACCCUUGAAAUCUCGCGAGAUUGGAUCCACGCGAGAAGAGGAGGGAGAGGGACGGGUCUGCAGCAGAUCUGGCGCAGGGAAACUUCCAAGGUCUCCGGGGAUCGACGGCAACUACGGCGGCGGCGACACCGGCGACUUAGGGCACGACACAAGCUCGGGUGAGAUCGGGAGAGGAAAGAGAAACUGCCCGCGAAACCCCCUGGGGGCGGGCUUUAUGCACCCACCGCGGGGUCACCGGACGCACUUAAAGUGGCACCGGAUGCGUCCGGUGACCACCGGACUCAUGCGUAGAGAGGUAUGCAAAACGGCAUCUCACCGGACGAUGGCCACUGGACGCUGGCUUUAGCGUCCUGUGCCCUAGGGCACGCGUGGUGAGCACCGGACGCACAUCACCGGACGCUGUAGGGACACUGUUCCUGCGUCCUGUGAGUGCAGUCUGGCAUACUCACCGCACUGGACGCACCGAGACAGCGUCCGGUGCAACGUCCGGUGCUCCUCUGAGUCCUUUUUCAACUUAGCACUUCGUUCGACUUUGACCCAACCAAGUUCCAUCUUCAAAGAUACACAAAUAAACACCAAAUGGAACUGGUAUGGGUGACUUCUCUCAAACCCUCAAAUUUUCACAAAUAUUUAGCCAUAGGCUUAGUAGUUUUUAUGAAAAUAAUUCAAGAAAUCACCAAGGAGCAUCAUAUGGCCAUAAAGCUAGGGGUUUGAAUCACAAUGAGCUUUGAAUGCUCCCCCUAUCUAUGGACGAACACAGCGGAUGCUCAAAGAAUAACCGAAAAGAAACAGUCAACUAACAAGCAUGCACAUGAUAUGAGUUGUAAUGCAAUACUUGAAAGUAAACUAAUGCUUGUCAAGUUUGAUCCAAGGUUAAGCUUUUUCACACACACAAAGGGGUUAUCUUAACCAUGUUAGACAAGCCCUACAUGCAAGUUUUGUAUUUUAGUUUUAGUAUGCAUGACAUGCAAAGCAAAAGUUUUAUUUACAAGUUUCAACACACAACUUUUAUCUUUUAGUGAAGUUAGAGAGGUCAAGCACAUUAAGUUCAUUUCUCAACAUACAAAACCUAGCUUCAUCAAGAGGUGAACAUAUUCGCCAAUUGAUUUUCUGUUCCCACAUUCUCUAGAGAUAUGUCACCUUUAGCAACGUGAUCCCUAAGGAAGUGGUGGCGGAUGUCAAUAUGUUUUGUGCGGGUGUGUUGAACCAGGUUGUUUGCAAGUUUUAUGGCACUUUCGUUGUCACACAACAAAGGUACUUUGUCUAGUACUACUUCAUAGUCUAGCAAAGUUUGUUUCAUGUAGAGAAUUUGUGCACAACAAGCACCGACGGCAAUGUAUUCCGCCUCGGCCGUUGACAAGGCAACACUAUUUUGUUUCUUUGACAUCCAAGAGACAAGUGAUCUACCUAGGAAGUGGCACCCUCCGGAUGUGCUUUUUCUAUCAAUCCGGCACCCGGCAUAAUCCGAAUCGGAAUAGCCUACAAGUUGGAAUCUUGCACCUUUGGGAUACCACAAACCUAGGCAAGGUGUGUAUUUUAGAUAUCUAAGAAUUCUCUUGAUGGCAAUCAAAUGAGAUUCCAUAGGCAUUGCUUGAUAUCUAGCACACAUACACACACUAAACAUGAUAUCGGGCCUAGAUGCGGUGAGGUAGAGUAGACUUCCUAUCAUGGAGCGAUAGAGAAUCUUGUCAAUUGGGUUACCUCCCUCAUCCAAGUCGAGAUGCCCAUUUGAUGCCAUGGGAGUCUUGAUUGGCUUGCAAUCCAUCAUCUUGAACCUCUUGAGAAGAUCUUGAGUAUACUUCUCUUGAGAGAUGAAGACUCCUUCCUUCAUUUGCUUGACUUGAAAUCCUAGGAAGAAGGAUAGCUCGCCAAUCAUGGACAUCUCAAACUCCUUGGACAUCAAAUCACCAAAUUCCUUGCAAAAAUCUUCAUUAGUAGAGCCAAAAAUAAUAUCAUCAACAUAAACUUGGCAAAUGAAGAUUUCGCCAUUCAUUUUCUUGGUGAAGAGUGUUGUGUCAACUUUCCCAAUCAUGAAGCCCUUCUCAAUGAGGAAGUCUCUAAGCCUCUCAUACCAAGCUCUAGGAGCUUGCUUGAGAUCAUAGAGAGCCUUGGACAACCGGUAGACAUGCUUGGGGUGCCUAGGAUCUUCAAAACCGGGGGGUUGCUCAAUAUAGACAAGUUCAUUAAUAUAUCCAUUCAAAAAAGCACUUUUCACAUCCAUUUGAAAUAACUUGAUAUCAUGACUAGAUGCAUAUGCAAGUAGGAUACUGAUUGCUUCAAGUCUUGCCACCGGUGCAAAGGUUUCACCGAAGUCAAGACCUUCCACUUGUGAAAAGCCUUUUGCCACGAGCCUUGCCUUGUUGCGCACCACUUUGCCUUGAUCAUCCUUCUUGUUUCGGAAGACCCACUUUGUUCCAAUCACUCUUGCAUCUUUGGGUCGCUCUUCAAGUGUCCAUACUUGAUUGCGAGACAAGUUGUUCAACUCCUCUUGCAUGGCCAUGAUCCAAUCCGCAUCACGAAGAGCUUCCUCUAUAGUCUUUGGUUCAUCUUCAAGAGACACAAAAGCGUGAUGUUCAAUAAAUAAAGCAUGUCUAGAACGAGUAGUUACACCACGUGAUGGACUCCCAAUGAUGAGAUCUUGAGAGUGAUCUUGGAGGAGAUGUGAUGUUCUUCUUGGUGCCACUUGAGGGGUUGGUUGGAGAGCAUCAACAUCUUGUGCUUGUGCCACCGUUGUUCUUGAGUGACUUGAGUGUCUUCAUGAGCAUCUCUCACAUCCUUGUCUUCAUCUUGUGGAACAUGUGAGGUGGAUGGUGGCUCAAUGAUUUGCACAUCAUCAUCAUCUUCUUUUGGCUUAAUGUCUCCCACCGGCAUGUUCUUCAUGGCAUCCCUCAAUGGUUCACCACCUACAUCAUCAAGAUUAUCACUUGCUCCUUGGGAGCCAUUAGUUUCAUCAAAUUCAACAUCAAAUGUUUCUUCAACCAUGUUUGUGGCAUGGUUAAAGACCCUAUAUGCCUUGGACUUUGAUGAAUAGCCAACCAAGUAGCCAAUGUCACAUCUUCUUUGGAACUUUCCCAAGUGUUGGCGCUUCUUGUAGAUGUAGCAUUUGCACCCAAACACUCUAAAUAAUGAGACAUCAGGCUUCUUCCCAUUGAGCAACUCAUAUGGUGUCUUCUCUAGGAACUUGUGAGGAAAGAGCCAGUUUGAAGCAUAGCAUGCGGUGUUGAUUGCCUCGGCCCACAUCUUCUCCGAAGUGUUGUAUUCAUCUAUCAUUGUUCUUGCCAACGUGAUCAAUGUCCGGUUCUUUCUUUCUACAACCCCAUUUUGUUGUGGUGUGUAUGUUGAGGAGAACUCAUGCUUGAUUCCCACUUCAUCACAAUACUCUUCAAUGUUGGUGUUGUCAAACUCUUUGCCAUUGUCACUUCUAAUCUUCUUGAUCUUGACAUCAAAUUGAUUUUGGGCAUUCUUUGCAAACUUCUUGAAUAUUGAUGCAACUUCGGCCUUGUCUUGCAAGAAGAAUGUCCAAGUGUAUCGGGGGAAAUCAUCCACUAUGACCAAACAAUAUUUGUUGCCUCCAAGACUAGCAUAUGUGGUUGGUCCAAAUAAAUCCAUGUGAAGUAGCUCAAGCACUCUUGAAGUAGAGAGAUAGGCCUUGGUUGGAUGAGUGUUUGCAACUUGCUUGCCGGCUUGACAUGCACUACAAAGCUUGUCCUUCUCAAAUGUCACAUCCUUCAAGCCUCUAAUCAAUUCUUUCUUCAUCAACUUCUUGAGUGUGCCCAUUCCAACAUGUGCUAACCUUCUAUGCCACAACCACCCAAGUGAAGUCUUGGUGAAUAAGCAAGUCUUGACAUCAACCUCAUCGGAUGAGAAAUCAACUACAUAUAGGUUGUUGUGUCAGAAGCCUUUGAAUAUCACUUCAUUGUCAUCUUCCUUGGUCACAAUCACUUCCUUCUUCUUGAAUAGGCAUUCAAAUCCAAGAUCACAAAGUUGUCCAACCGAGAGCAAGUUGAAACUCAAUGAUUGCACAUAGAGCACAUUGGUGAUGGAGUUGUCAUUUGAUAUAGCAACCUUUCCUAGUCCCUUGACCUUGCCUUUUGAAUUGUCACCAAAUGUGAUCUUCUCUUGGUUGUCAACAUCUUCAUCAAGAGAGGUGAACAUCCGGGGAUCUCCGGUCAUAUGUUGAGUGCAACCACUAUCAAUUACCCAAUGUGAUCCACCGGUCUUGUAGUUCACCUACACACAAGAGAUCAAGCUUGAGAUUUAGGGACCCACAUUUGUUUAGGGCCCUGGACCUUCUCUACUAGUUGCUUUGGCACCCAAAUCUUCUUUGGCCUUUGCUUGUUGGGCGGCCCCAUGAAGCUAACCUUGACCUUGCCACUCUUGUCUUUCCUUACAAUGUAGUGAGCAUUGAAGGCAAAUGGUCUUGCAUGCUUGGGCAAGGGUGGUGGUAGUGGUGCCUUACACUCAUGAGCAAAGUGUCCUUCUUGACCACACUCAAAGCAUCUCUUUGGCUUUGGCUUGCUUGGUUGAUCAUGAGUGGCUAGUGACUUGAUGAGCUUUGUUUGAUGAGCCUUGUAGCCAAUUCCACUCUCGUCCAUCUUCAUGAUGGUGUUCAUGAAAAGCUCACUUUGAAGGUCCUUCCCCUUUGUGAACUUUGCUAACCCCAUGGUUAGGUGUUCCUUCUCUCUUGAGCUUGUUGUUCUCUUGAGUUAGCUUCUUGAUGAUUGGGUCAUUGUUGCUAGCUAACUCAUCCAAGAUGAAUGUCUCAUCCUCUUCUUGCUUUUCAUACAUCAAACCAAGCUUGAGAUAUUGGUUUUCUUCCUUGAGUAACUUGUUCUCAUAAGCAAGCUUCUUGUCUUGAUCAAGUGACUCAAUCACAAUGGUCUUGUGCUUGGCUUGGUCUUGCAACUCUUUCUUGAGCAUGACAAUUUCAUCCUUGAGCUUGAUAGUGUCCUCAUAGCUCUCGGCCACUACCACUUUCUUGCCCUUGCAAUCAACACAUUUGCUUGUGCUCUCCACAAGUAAGUCAUCACAAGAUAUGGCUACAUCAAGCUUAGUAACAUUGUUAGUAGCAACAUGUGUUUCAUCAGUUGCAAGUUCAUAAGCAAUCUCAAGGUUGUCAUAGUUUGCUUUUAGAGUUGUUAGCUCUGCUCUCAUUGCUCUAUAUCUAGUAAUGAGCUCAUCAUGAACACUCUCAAUUUUAUCAUGUUUUUCUUUGAGCUCUUUUAAUGAGAGUUUGAGCUCCUUGAGCUUAGUGGUCAUGAUUUCAUUUUGGUCUCUAAGCUCAUCACUAGACUUACGCUUUGCUAGAAGUGUUUCAUUUUCAAGUUCAAGCUUUUCAUUUUCACUUCUAGAUUUUCUUAUGACUUUUGUGUACUUGUUAAGCAAUUUUACAAGUUCAUCAUAAAAAGGUGAUUCGUAUUCACUAUCACUUUCACUACUCUCAUCCUCAAUUUGUACCUUUCGGUCACCCUUAGCCAUAAGGCAUAGGUGUGUAGUGAAUGUAGAUGGUGGUGAAGAUGAUGGUGAGGAAGCAUCGAUGGCAAUGGCGGCAACUUUCUCAUCAUCACUCUCAUUGCCGGAGGAGUCACCACUUGAGCUCUCAAAGUCGGUGAGCCAAUCACCAACAAUGUAGGCCUUGCCAUUCUUCUUCUUGUAGUGCUCCUUCUUCUUGCCACCUUUCUUCUUGUAUUGCUUCUUGUCAUUCUUGUCAUCAUCACUUGAGUCAUCUUGCUCUUUGUUCUUCUUCUUGUAUUUGUCCUUCUUGGGCUUUGGACAUUGGUGAGCAAGAUGGCCAAGCUCACCACAAUUGUAGCAAUCCAUCUCGGAGAUGGGCUUUCUCUUGCUACUUGUGAAGAACUUCUUCUUGGAGUCAAAGUUGACUCCAUUCUUGUUGAGCUUCUUCAACAUCUUUGUGGUUCUUCUCACCAUGAGGGCAAUAGAUGCAUCAUCAUCACUUGAAGUUGAUGACUCAACUUCAAUCUUCUUAGCCUUGCCCUUGUGAGAAGCCUUGAGGGCCAAGUCCUUCUUCUCCUUCUUGGCCGAUGAGGAGCCAUCUUGGGGGUUCAUGUGCAUGUACAUCUCAUGAGCAUUGAUCUUCCCCAAUAUGGCGGUUGGUGUAGCGGUGGAAAGAUCGCCUUGAUGAAGCACGGUUACUAUGUGCCCAUAUUUCUCAAUGGGAAGCACACAUAGUAUCUUCCUUGCUACAUCCGCCGCACUCAUUUGAGUGAGCCCAAGUCCAUUUAGCUCCUCUACAAUGACAUUUAAGCGAGAAUACAUUUCAUUAGCAUUUUCUUUAGGAAGCAUCUCAAAUGUCUUAAGCUUGUUCAUCACUAAGUGAUAGCGUUCCUCGCGUUCACUCUUUGAUCCAUCAUGGAGCGCACAAAGUUCCUUCCAAAGAGCAUUGGCGGUUUUGUGGCUCCUAACGCGGUUGAACACCUCUUUGCAAAGGCCUCUAAAGAUGUGGUUUUUGGCCUUCGCAUUCCACUUCUCAUUUUCUUGCUCUUGUGGAGUAAGAGCGGUGUCUUUUGCCGGAGGGGUAAACCCUUCGGUCGCGGCUUUUAGGCACUUUACAUCGCAUGCCUCAAGGUAUGACUCCAUCCGUAUUUUCCAAUAAGGGAAGUCAUCCCCAUCGAACAUGGGUGACGGUCCAUCCCCGUUAGACAUCUUUUCUCUAGGCGGUGAAGCCUAAAUAAUGAGCACUAGGAUCUGAUACUAAUUGAAAGGAUCAAGAUGCCCAAGAGGGGGGGUGAAUUGGGCUUCUCUAAAAAUUUAAGCAACCUAUAAGUUCCAAUUCAACCCCUUGUGCCUAGUGUGACCUAGAGAGCUACCGGAUAAAAGUUUUGCAACCUAGUUCCAAUCCUAUUCUAGCAUGGCAAUACUGAGAAUGUAAAAACACAAAGUAAAUGCUAGAAUGUAAAGGAGUAGUGGAAGAAAGUGCUCAACGAUGUUUUGCCGAGGUAUCGGAGAGUCGCCACUCUCCACUAGUCCUCGUUGGAGCACCCGCGCAAGGGUCUUGCUCCCCUUAGUCCGCACAAGGACUAAGUGCUCUCUACGGGCUGAUUCUUCGACACUCCGUCGCGGUGAAUCGCCCAAAACCGCUCACAAGCUUGACACGAGCCACCCACAAGAACUUCGGGCGGUCUUCAUGCCUCCAAUCACCACUGAACUGUCUAGGUGAUGGCGAUCACCAAGAGUAACAAGCAAAGAACUCUCACUUGACCCAAACAAGGCUCUAGAGAGUGAUGGAUGCACACUUGACUCUUGAAACUCACUAGAGAAGGAUUCUAUCAAGAAAUCACUCAAAAAUCAAUCCUCUCUAGGCUCUUGCUACUCUCUUGCUCCACAACAAGUUUCUCAGAUGUUCAAAUGGGCAAGAGACCUCUCAUGGACGAGGUGGAGGAGUAUAAAUACUACCCACGAAGUCCAAAGGUCAGCCAACCGUUUUCCACUAAAAACGGGGUCACCGGACGCUCUGCACCGAGCGUCCGGUGCUCCAUAACGGCUAACUGUACUUGCGUCUGACAGGUCACCGGACGCUAACUCUCAGUGUCUGGUGCACCGUCCGGUGCUCCGGGGAGUUUUACAUGCUCCCUGCGCAUGGGACCGGACGCUACCCGGUGCGUCCAGUGCUAGCGUCCGGUGCUCGAGGCAGGUUUACAACCUCCCUGGGUAAGGGACAGGAUGCUGUCCGGUGAGUCCGGUGCCAGCGUCCGGUGCUUAACCCUAAGCACCGAGAACUCCCAACGGCUAAGGACCUCACUGGACGCACUCACAGAGCGUCCGGUGCAGCGUCCGGUGCCCUUUUGGGCACCCUAACUUCGUCAAAACACGAUCGCUCCAAAACGAAGUUGGUUCCUCUCGAUCUAAGGACUAUCUCUGAGCUGCCUAGAGCUAGGUUUACCAAGUGUGCACCACACCUAAACCUAAAGCCUUGCCUAAGUCAAGUUACUAGAUCAAAGCCCCUCUUAAUAGUACGGUCAAAGGAAAACAAAGUCCUAAACUACUCUAAGUGCCCUUCUUCACCAUAUGGCACUUAGACCUAGUCUAGUCUUGACGAUGUCCAUCCAUCCUUUGAACACCGAAACGAUUUUCACUAUUAAGUAGGCAUGUACGUCCCUGUCCAUCGAGCACCUAUUUACCAUGACCUUACCUAUGACUUUGCCUCUGCAAAACACACAUUAGUAAUAGUAAUCAAUAUUGUCAUUAAUCACCGAAAUCACUAGGGGCCUAGAUGCUCUUUCAUCCUUUUUACUAUGAGUUCUUAGGAAUUCGUCGACUUAAGCUCGGCGUAUUCUCGAGUUCCGCGUGAGUACCUCUUGGCCGUGACAUCUGGGCGCAUCGCUGUUGUCAGGACCAAAGUAUUCGAGUUACCACCUUUGCCGAUAGUAAGGUCAAAUCGGCUGGCACGCCUUAACGUUUGAAUUGGGUAUUAGCCCUUUGUGUUUGCAGAUCAGCUUUUGCACCAACACAUCUUUUGGCACGCCCGGUGGGACCAGAUUCAAGAUCAAGAUCGACAUGUCGACUACCGAGUUCGACUUGGAGAACGUCAUCCCUGUGACGGAAGCCAAUCUCAGAGAUGAGCAGAAGCAAGCUAUUGCAAAAGCCAUGGAGGACUACAAGCACCAAUGUUUGAAAUCCUUCAGCAUCAACAGGAGUGGCGAAGUAAUCCAGAAGGAAGCACUGCCGGUGCCUCGGCAGGUCACUUUUGAAGUCAAUCCUGGUAAACUCCAAGACAUGGUUGACAAUGCCAUCAACCGUGCCUUGAUCAACCAAGCUGGUGUGCUGUCCAACACGGUUUUCAACGCCGUGGCCAGAACUUUCAAAGAGGGACAAUGGCCACCAAAUUAUAUGGGCCCUGUCUAUCAUCAGCCAGGAUCACCAGUUGUCUCAGCUCCAUCGGCUACUACGGCCGCUGCGGGUAUAGAAACUGCUACUCCUCCAAGCACAAUAGGACUCACUAAUGUGCAAUCUACGCCGAUGACAACUAAUCCGUCAACUUCAGAUGAGCAAAUCAAGCUUGCCACAGAUCUAUUGGCAUCGGCAAUGUCGGGAUCUAUUCCUCCUAACUGGUGGGGUUAUGGUAUGCCCCCUGAGAUGAUGUUGAAGACGCCAGGGACAUCUCAAACGGCUGACAUGAGAGGCAAGGCUCCUAUGGUAUCGGCACCUCCAAAUAUGCCGAUGAAUCAGAGUCCCUAGUAUACUACAACUACUACUGCAAGACCUUACACUGGGAAUUCUCAAGCUCCAACGUUUCAGAUGCCUAAUGCAUCGGCAGAUUCAAUGCCGACGCAACAGAGGUUUAUGACACAGCAAGGGUACGUCAACUCAAUGAUGAUGCCCAAUUACCAGUCAUCGGCAGGACCUAUGUCGAUGAAUGCUAAUAGUGGAUGGACAGGGCAGCUAGUCUUUCCACAGAUGCCUCAGCAGAGUCAUCAGGCUGUUGGAUUUCAACAAGGAUAGGUCCAGCCUGGAUUUUAGAAUCAAGGAUUGAUCAACCAACCGAUGAAUCUGGGUCAGCAGAUUGGUGGUCAGAUGGUUAAUCCCAUGUUCCAUGCAGAUCGUGCGCCUCAGCGACACGUGGAAGCUUACCAGCAGGUGUCAGAUCUACAACCGCCUCAUCGGCAAGAUGCCGAUGCUUAUUGGGCCGAUAAGAUUGCUGAAGUAAUGAGGGACCCAUUUGGGAUAAAACCCAAAGUCAACACUUACUCUUAUCGGACACCGUAUCCUCCUACAUAUGAUUUUAUUCCACUUCCAAAUCGGUAUAAGGUACCCGAUUUCACUAAGUUUUCUAGGCAGGAUGAUACCUCAACUAUGGAACACGUUAACAGGUUCAUCAUUCAAUGUGGGGAAGCUACUAACAGAGAUGAGUUAAGGGUUCGCUUGUUCUCAUCAUCUUUAUCUGGAUCGGCUUUCACUUGGUUUAUUUCAUUACCUCCUAACUCAGUGAUUACUUGGGCCGAUCUGGAGAAGCAGUUCCACAAAUACUUCUUUUCUGGAGUCCAUGAGAAGAAGAUUACCGAUUUGGUCAUAUUGAAACAACGCAACGAUGAAUCGGUUGAAAGUUUUGUGCAGAGGUUGCGGGAAGUCAAGAAUAAAUGCUAUAGUCUGGUUCUGGAUGAUCGGCAGCUAGCCGAUUUGGCUUUCCAGGGUUUAUUGCCACAUAUCAGGGACAAAUAUGCUUCUCAAGAGUUCGAGAGCCUGAGUCACUUGGUCCAGAGGAUUUCCGACCAGGAUAUCAAACCCUUUGAACCUAAGAGGGCUUGGAACAAAAAGGUGUAAUUUGUUGAUGAGGCAACAAGCUCAGAUUCUGAUGAAGAGCCAGUCAUCGGCUUAGCAGAGUGGGUGAAAAAUAAGAAGCCAAUGUCUUGUCCUUUUGGGCAUAAGGAGCCAGAGAAAUUUGCAUUUGACAUUACUAAAGCCGAUAGGAUAUUUGACUUUCUACUUCAGGAAGGGCAAAUCAAAUUGUCACCUAAUCAUGUUAUUCCAUCGGCCGAAGAAUUAAAGAAGAUGAAAUACUGCAAGUGGCAUAAUGCAACCUCUCACAGCACCAAUGAGUGCAAAGUUUUUAGGCAACAGCUGCAAUCGGCUAUUGAAUCUGGGAGAAUCAAAUUUGAUAGUUCCAAAGCUUAGAAGCCGAUGAAGAUCAAUCAACACCAUUUUCCAACAAAUAUGUUGGAUGCUAAGGGAAAGACUAAGGUCACUACUAACUUCUAUGUUUUUGGCAAUGCCACAAAAGCGUUGCAAGAUGCUUUAUUUGGUUGCAAUAAGUAGCUUUUGCCACCAAAUCACAGUCGUUGCAAAGGGUUGCAAUAAGUUGCGUUGCAAUAAGUUAUUGCAACCGUUUCUAGAUCGGUGUUGCGAGUGAUGUUGUUUCUUGCAAUCGUAGAUGUCCGUUGCCAAGCGUGGCAAUAGGAUGUUGUCGCAACACUCACCGUCAUUGCAAUAGGAACACUUGCAACGCUAGGCUUCAUUGUAAGAGAUGGUUCAGUAGCAUUGCGAUAAACUUUAUUGCCACAAUAAUAUUUGGUUGCCAAAUCUUUUGUUGCCACACAAUUUCUUUCGUUGCUAGAGCAUUGGCGUUCUUGCCACCAUUGCUUUUUGUGUUGCGACAUUACCUAUUGCCAUAGUUUUAAUAUGUUGCGAGAGAUUAUAUGUUAUUGCCACGGUUGUUGGACCAUGGCAAUAGUAUCAUUUGCCACGACCUUUUCACCGUUGCUAGAAACCAUUCGCUAUUGCCAGGACUAUUAUGCUGUGGCAACAAAAUUAUUUGCCACACAAUUUUAUCAUUGCUAUAGAUCUAAUGUUACUGCAACGCCAAAAUGCAUGGCAAUAUAUUAUUUGUUGCCACAUAAAUAAUCAUGUUGCUAUAGAUCUAGUAGGAACAAUUUUUAUUGCAACGGAUCUAUUUUUUAAUAAAUCAUCGUUGCAAACAUAAUAAACCAUAUCAAAUGAGAUUGCACUUGCAUAUAUUAAUUUAUAGUCAAUCAUCAUCCAAUAGUCUGACAAAUGAUUCAAAUAGUAGCUAAAAUCACAAAUGAAGUUCUCUCAUUAUUCCAAAAAUUUUAAAAAUAUGCAACUAGACUAGACUUUCUAACAUCCAUGCAGCCCUUGAGAUGAGUUUUCUAUGAGUGCCACAUGUCAUCGUCUCGCCAAUGUUGUUGCUUGACGAGCCUCCCUUUGAAAUCUUAUGUACCUACUGCCAAAAGAGUAAGAUUAAGAUAUUAGAAAACCUCUAUGUUUAGUACUUCAUGCCCAAAAUAUAAAUUCAGAACUUAGGAAAUUAUAUAUGCAUGUGUGAUAAGAAAAAUUUAAGAAUAUGCUCAAGUACAGCUCUAGACCAAAUGUAUAGUGGACUACAAAAAUCAUAAUUACUUGUCUCGACAAUGGAAAUUACAAAAACCACCACAUUUUCCAUAUAUUUCCCAUGAGCUGGCAAUGAUUUUCUCUAGACAAAGAAAAUCAUAAUUACUCCACCAACAAAAAUAAUUUUGUGGUUACUAAUUCCCUAUUGAUUUUUGAAAAUCCAGAAUUGCUUGUUCAGAUGUUCUGGGUCAUUACUGUUGUGUAGCACAGAGUACAAAAAGAAAGUUUAUCAGUUUUCCUUGUUCAGGUCUUGUCUUACUUGCUUACUAAUAUUUGUACUGUUUCAAAGUUGAAUAGGAGACAGAUUUGUCUAGUUUGACAACAACUCAGAUUAUUUUUAUUUUUAGUAAGCUGAUGGCUCUCCUUUUCUUUGCACAGUUAUCAAUUCACAGUUAGUUUGCUACUACAGGAACAAAAUAAGGAUAAACCUCUGCUAUACAGUUUGCAUGUAAGCAUUCAAAUACUGCUCUAGAGCCCUUUACACUUGUAUGAAUGUUGUGAAUCAAUGUGUUCCUAAACCUUUACCCUCCAAUGCCCUUCUAUUAAACUUUAGACAUCACACACUAACAUGGUACUGAAGAUAUUACUGCAGGAAUCCACAUAGAUACUAUAUACAGCACAAAAGGGCAUAUUGACACUAUAAGAACUGUCCUGGCUGGCAAAUUACAUAUUAUAGUUACCUUCUUUUCUUCGAUUUCUUGCUCUAUUAAUCAGCUGUUGUGGAGUGAUUAUAUGUCUUUGGUGCUAUAUUUGUAGUGUUUUCAUUGAAAAGAUUUCUACUCACAGUAGUAGAAUUUUUACUGCAGCGAGUAGUUGGUGCUGCAUCUUUUUGUACAAUGACAACACUUCCUGGACGAGUCUACAAACAUUCACUUGCUGUCACUUGCGAGAUGCUCACUAGCCAAGCAUGCCCUAGCUGUUCUUUGAAACUUAACAAGGACAAAACAUUUAUAUCACCCCUAUCAAUUGAGAGGUGAAUGUGUUGUCUGCAGUUGUCCCCUUGCAUAUAAAAUGUACCAACCACAUCUCUCCAGCUAUUUUUUAAGCAAUCUCUGGCUAAAUUUGCUCUGUACAUUACAAAAUUGUCAGUGCAAUCAAUUCAACAUGUGAUUUGAAGUUAAAAAAUUAUCAACGCAAUCAACAGAUUACUAGAUUCAAACUAGUACAAAAAUUAAACCAGAGAUCAAAGCUUCACACAGAUAAAAGCAAGGCAAAAAUGGCAGCGUAAAUGAUUAUAAAAUCAAAUAAUCUAUUGUCAGGACUUAUAUAUAACAAUGUAUGCUCUUGAUGCUUUUGUGUUACAUAGUCUAUGAAAUUAUUACGUCCAGGCAUAAUAUGGCGUGCAGAGUCCAAAAUGAAUCUCCAAAUCCAAUAUAUAGUUGGUCACAAAAAAUAGAUGGCUCUCUAAGAAACUAAAAGGCCAUACCAGUCUUUAAAAUUUAUAAGCCACAUCAAUAGAUCUAUUCAUUAUUUUACUUGAUCAUGCUUUAUAAAAUGAAUCUCCAAAAAGUAAUGUUUAGAGGAUCUCUAAAAUAGAUAGCUCUCUAAAAAUCAAAAGGACCACAGCUGUCUCAUUACAAUUUAUAAGCCACGUCAAUACAUCUAUUUAUUAUGUUACUUGAUGAUCCACAUAUUUUAUAAAAUAAAUCUCCAAAAACUAAUAUUUAUUGGAUCUCUAAAAUAGGCUGGUCCCUAAAAAACUAAAAGACAACAGCAUGCUGGCGGGUAGAUCGAGCAGAGGGCUGGAGUCAGGAUAGAUAUACUGUUGGAUCAUAUUUCUUUCAGUAAAUUCUCUAAACUAAACAAAUCCAAUCUACAUGCUAAAUAAAGUGGGGAUGAGCCAAAACUCUAAACCAUUAGCUGCUACGGUAAAAUACAAAAUAAGAUAAAAUUGGGAAAAAAACAAACAAUCUGUCAUACCUAUGUUCACUUAAUUCAAGCAAAUAUGGUGAUAUUUUGUUGCAUUGUAAAGAACUGAGUGGAGCAUAAUCCCAAGGCCUCUAUAGCCAUCUCAGAAGAGACGCACCAGCAUGGUAGCACGGGAAAAAGCAAAAGAAUCGAAAAACAAAUACAACAUGUAUACGCGCUAGGCUCUACAUUCAGGAAAAAAUGGACAUCAAUUCGCCCAUCACCUUCUCAUCACUAGAUUCAGUUGCAACCAUGGCCACUGUGGGCUCGAAACAGAGUACAAUUUGGGACGAAUAAAUGGAUGAACCAAAACCCUAGAUAGAGAUGUGGCGUGGUUGCAUACCUAGUCGAUGAUAGUCCGAAAAACUCUUGAUCGACACAAACGCCGGCGUAGGCUUGUACUGCUUCUGGAGGAGUACCAUCGGCAUCCGGCCUUGGUCACGGGAGUCGGCGCCAUCGGUGGCAGCGGUAGGGGAAGUCCGCGCCAUGGUCGUCGUCACGCACAGGAGGGGAGUACAUCGGCUGCGCGGCCUUGUUCAUCGGAGUCGGCGCCGUCGAUGGCGGCAGUAGAAGAAGCUCGUGCCCUCCUGGUCGCCAUCGGGCGGAGGAGGGUGCAGGGGCAACACGAACCGUCCGAGGCGGCAGCAGGGAAUGAGUUUGGGCUCUAGUUAAUUUGCGUCUAUUUAGGGUAGUGGGUGCGGAUUUUGGAUGGUGGAAGGGUUUCUUGGAGGGAAAAUAUUGUGAGGUGUGCAAAUACUCCAAAUUUUGGAGCGAUUUUUCAGGCAAAAUGACAUGACGUACCUACAUACGUUUUAUAGUAGUAUUGUUUAAUAAAAUUUGAAUAAUUUUGGGUUGUCAUAAUACCAGCACCGAACAUGGCAUAGUUUUUCUAAAUAAAUGUUUUGUUGCGGGCCCUUUUAGAUUACAUGCAUAGAAAAUAUAUAAGAAUGGAAAACCUUAGGAAUUGAGAGCAUCUCCAAGAGAUUAGCUAAAAACACUAGUUAAAUUUACUGAUUUAGCUACUCUCUUAAAUAGAUUUGACAAAAAGUUAUUAGAGUACUCCAACAAACUCUGUAAAGGAUGGCUAGUGAGAUAGGCUAUCUAAAAGUAGAGAGCGAACAAGGUGGGAUGGAGAGCUACUAAAUUUGAAGAGUCGUUUACAGAGUCAGUUAGAAACGUUUUUCCUUCAACAAUAGCUAGAUUUACCUUUACAAAAUGAUUUUAGCUAAACUUUUGGAGGUGCUCUGAGGUACCACACUUCUACUGUGAGUCAAAACAAAGAAAAGUUGGUAAGGCCGCUGAAAUACAGGAACUAAAUACUUAUAUUUUUAAUAUGAAAACUAAGGCCUUAUUUAGUUCACACCAAUACCCAAAAACCUUUCAAAAUUUCCAGUCGCAUCGAAUCUUAUAGCACAUGCAUAGAACACUAAAUAUAAAUUAAUAAAUAACUAAUUACAUAGUUUGCCUAAAAUUUGCGAAACAAAUCUUUUGAGCCUAGGUUGGAUAAUAAUUGCCAAAUAAAAAUAAAGUGCUAUAGUAUCCAAAAACGUUUCACCUCCUCAAGUAAACAAGGCCUAAAUACCCAUUGACUUCGUGAUGCUUUACUACAAAGAGCCAGAUCCCUAACAAAAAAUUUUAGAUACUCUAGCACUUUCGUUUGUAUUUGGCAAUUAUUGUCCAACUAUGGACUUACUAGGCUCAAAAGAUUCGUGUCGCAAAUUACAGGCAUAGUGAUAAAUAUGAUAUGCUUUAGUAAAAAAUGGAAAAACUAAUCUUGUUGGGCUGAACAUGAGUAGAUCUACACAGUGAAUAUAUAAUAUGAUAUUCUUUACUACAAAGUUUUUGUUAUAGCUUUAAAUCUAUGUUUUUCUAUAAUUAAUUAGAAUAAUUCAUAUAUGCAGUUUCUAUAGUCCAAUUAUAGUGAUUUUUUUGAUGAGCUAAUUAUUGUAUGGUUAAAGUAUAGUAAAAAUUUUGUACCCAUUGGAUCACAUAUAACUUAGUUAUAGAUUUAUUUAGCUUUAUUCUUAUUAAAUAUAUGCUUUAUCUAUAACUAAGUUAUAAGUGAUCUAAUGAGCUUGAAAUUUGUACCAGAUUUCAAACAUAUAAUAAUAAGCCCACCAUAAAAAUUUCAUCAUAAUUGGACCAUAGAAACUGAAUAUACGAAUUAUUCUAGUUAAUUAAAGAAAAUCAAAGAUGUAAAGCUACAACAAAAACUUCGCACUAAAGUAUACCACAACCAAAUUUGAUUUUUUAUUUUAUGAUUUUUCUAUAAUUUAUUAUGAUUUUUCAAAUAUUCAGCAAAAAUAAAUAAAAAGAAAAAGACAAAACCACCCUCGAAAACCGCUCGAGGGGGGUAUUUGACCGGUUUUGAAAAUUUCAGGGAAUAGAUUAUCCGAUUUUAUAGUUCGGAAGUAGAGUACACUGAGAUAGUUGAGAGGUUAUGUAGACUUUUUUCUUUCUAUUUAUUGGUUAUUUUAUUUAUUAGGCAAAUAGAGAACGCUCAUGUGAAUCUACCUUGGAAAAAAUGCCUUUCAUAUUCCAAAACUUUUCUAACAAACAAUAGCCUACACAUAUAUUGUUGUGCAGGAGGUUCAAAAACAACUGGAACUCGAUUGAUAUUUUAUAUCACUUUAAAUGAAUUUCUGCAUACUUUAUUAUAAAAUAAUUGUAACUGUAAUAAUUCUAAAUUUCGUUGGAUAAUUCUAUAAUUUUGCAUAGUAAUAUGUUUUUGUUCCAUAAUCUUUAUAUUAAAACUGAAAUGAUUUAAGCAAUUUGAAUUAAAUUUAAAUGUAACAUGCUAAUUUAAACAAAUCGUUGUGACACCCCACUCUGAAAACUAAACCUUAAAAAUUCAAUUUGGAUUAAAUUUAAACAUAUCUUUGUAGAUUAAAUAUUCUAAAAUUUUCUUCAGUUUUAUAAAAACUAAUAUGUCAGUUUUGGAAAUUAGUGAGGAAAGUUCGAAUUGGCGCCAUCGAAAAUCGCCAUCUAGCUAGAAAUUCGAUCUCGCUCCCAUCAAAUUCCAAAUUCUCGCACGCUGGUCUGGCCAGACGGGCCCACACAGCUGGCCUUGGACGUUCUUCUUUGAUGGAUCCACGUGUGACCGGGGGGCAGAAAUCAGCAUAGUGUUAAUUUCCCCUCAGGGAAGGAAGUAUGAAUUCUCCUUGCCGAUUGUUGCCACGUCGACAAAUAAUCAAGCUGAGUAUCAAGCUUUAAUUAAGGGGUUGGAGUUGUUAAAAGAGGUUCGUGCUGACGCUGUUGAAAUCUUCUAGGAUUCUAUGCUAGUUAUAAAUCAGUUAGCUGGAAGUUAUGAAUGUCGAAGUGAGGUUUUAAUAAUGUAUUACGAAAGGAGUAUGCAACUGUUAAAGGAAUUCAUGGAUUUCCGAUUAGAGCAUAUUCCUCGAUUGCAUAACGAAGAGGCCAAUCGGUUGGCCCAGUAUGCCUCGGGAUAUCAGCCCAUAUUAAACACAAUAUCGACAAUCAGUGCCGAUGAUUGGAGAAAAGAAAUUGUUGAUUAUUUAAAGGAUCCAUCUAAGAAAGUUGAGAGACGCGUUCGGUUUCAAGCCACCAAGUAUGUGCUCCUCGAAGAUGAAUUAUAUUAUCGAACAAUUGAUGGAAUUCUUCUCAAAUGCUUAGGUGAUGAUGAGGCUAGAAGUUUAAUGGGAGAAAUCCAUGAAGGAGUAUGUGGAGCACAUCAGUCGGCUUUUAAGAUGAAAUGGAUUAUUAGGAGGAAUGGGUAUUAUUGGCCAACCAUACUUGAAGGUUGCUUUAAAUAUUUCAAGGGGUGUCAAGGAUGUCAGAAGUUUGGCAAUAUUCAAAGGGCACCCGCAUCGGCCAUGAAUCCCAUUAUUAAACCUUGGUCGUUCCGGAGAUGGGCUAUUGAUCUAAUCGGCCAAAUUUACCCACCAUCAAGUAAAGGACAUAAAUUCAUCUUGGUUGCCACCGAUUAUUUCACCAAGUGGGUUGAAGCUAUUCCUUUGAAGAAAGUCACAUCGGCCAAUAUGAUUGAUUUUGUGAAAGAGCAUAUUAUUUAUCGAUUUGGAACUCCUAAAACAAUUACUAACGAUCAGGGUACUAUGUUUACAUCAGGGGAGUUUGAUGAGUUUGCAAUCGGUAUGGGGAAUUAAAGUAUUAAAUUCUUCUCCUUAUUAUGCUCAAGCUAAUGGGCAGGCCGAAGCAUCUAACAAAGGAAUUAUCAAACUUAUUAAACGGAAGAUUGAAGAAAAUCCUAGGAGGUGGCAUACGUUGUUGAAUGAAGCUUUAUGGUCAUAUCGGAUGGCUUGUCAUGGGUCGACCAAAGUUUCACCUUAUCAGUUGGUGUAUGGACAUGAUGCAGUGCUACCUUGGGAAAUUAAAACUGGGUCUAGGCGACUAUCUUUUCAAGAUCAAUUGGCUGCCGAUGAUUAUACUACUUUGAUGACAGACGAGUUGGAUGAUCUAGCAGGACAUCGGCUAAGGGCUUUGAUAAGUAUAGAAGAAAAUAAGAAGAGAGUUGCCAGAUGGUAUGAUAAGAAGGUAAAGGCUAAGGAGUUUGCUGAUGGAGACUUAGUAUGGAAACUAAUCUUACCGAUCGGGACUAAAAGUUCAAAAUUUGGGAAGUGGAAUCGAUCUGCUCCUGGCAACGCCUAUAUCUUAAAAACUCUCGAAGGAGUUGAAUUUCCCAGAGCAUUGAAUGGCAAAUAUUUAAAGAGAUAUUACCCCAGCAUAUGGCUUGAUGCAUGAAAGUUUAAGUGCCGAUAACAUUCCUAUCGGCUGAAUUAAAAGUGUAUCUGGGGCCGGACUUAAUGUUUUAAAAGGAUGCUGAUAACAGUCCUAUCGGCUGGACCAAAAUGAUUAGAAGAAAGAAGCAAAGAACGCCGCCGAUGAAGAGUUCACAUGUUUAACAGAGCCUGGAUCAUCGAUAUGGCGCGCAGACGGAUCUAGUUGGCUUCUUCUAUCUCCUUCACGUCAUCAUCGGCAGAGCCUUCCACUGGCUUCAGUUUCUUCUUCAUGUGAGUGCUUUAUGGGUCUGGAUGUUUCGCUAUUGUUCAAGAGUCUUGAUUGCUUCAGGCAGUUGGCUUUCUUCCUGUUGAGCUUGGGACAGAGCUUCUUCCACUUGUCUAAGUUCAGCCAACAAAGCUUCCCUUCUCGCCGAUAGAUCAGAGAUCUUUUGCUUCAGUACAUCUCCUGAGGAUUUCAGAAUGCCGAUGCUCUUAUGCUUCUCAUCGGCAAGGAGCUUCACUUUCAUCAUCUCCUCUGAGAGCUGAGCGUGAAUAGCUCUAUCGGCAAGACGCUGGGCAGCCUUUUGAUACUGCAGCUGACGACUCUCUAAGUGUGCAGCCUGAAAAAGAACCUCCUCGGCAUCAGCAGGGAUUUGACCUCUGAGAGCCUUGAAUAGAACUUUGGCUGGAUCAGAGUCAUCGACCAAUUGCACUGUGUCUUGAUGGAGAAGGGCUGACAGAUCCGCCAGCUUUGCUCUAAUCUCUGCCGAUGAGAUUCCAACUGCUCGAGAAGAACUUGCUUCCUCGCCUUCAUCCUCAGAGAUCUCGAUGGCGAAGGAGAACAGGCUGUUGGGAGAAUCCUGUUCCUGGAAAAGAAGACAGAAUAAGUUAUCUUAUGAUCAAGUACUGAUAACAAUAAAAAUAAGGAUCGGGUAACUUACUUGCUUCAGAGCUAUCUCUCGCCUCUGACAAGUUGAAGCCGAUGGAACCACAGGUUGAUCGGCUAGGAUUGCCGAUGAGACUAUGUCAGCUGAAAGAUUAACAGAGGUAAUUACAAAUUGGAAAAAGUGGGUUCAUCGGCAAUAAAUAAAGAGUAUGUUACCUUGAGGAGGUGCAGUUGUCUGAAUCGAGGAAACUACCAAUGCUAUGAUUAAGCUUGCUGGAUCGGCAGUCUGCUCGCAUACAUCAGCCGAUGUUUCUUCUGACUGAGGUUCUUCUGGCUGGAGUUCUUCUGUUUGGGUUUCUUCUUGUGGUUGAGGAGGAGACGGUGCUGGUUGUAUCUGGGCUUCUGGAGGAGAAGGGGAUGAUUCUACUGGGAUCGGAGAUACUGGGGGAGGAGAAGGCGUUGCUGUUCUCUGGCGCUUCGCUUGUGAUCUGGUACUCUUGGAGCCUUUUCUCUUCGGUUGACUGGACUGCGGGGCAUCGGCAGUCGUACUUCUGGUCUUUGCCGAUGUACCGGUGUGCUGAUACAACAAUAAGAAGUUUAUGAGUACAAGUGUGAUAGGUAUAAGAAUGAAAUUGGUAUGAAUAAAAGAAUUCAAAAAUUUACCUUGAAGGCUUGUGCUAAGGUAGAGGCAGCUACCGAUGGGGAUGUCUUCGUCCACUUGGUGGUAACUUUCUUGAGGCGCACACCCCGAUGCAUUAUAGCAGCCAAGGUUGGAGCGUUGUUACCGAUCAAAGAGAUCGGGCCCGAUGGAAGGAGCUCAAUCGGCUUACCACUCCUGCUGACCAAUGGCGGUGUGUCAUCGACCUGUAUAUGACAAAGAAAGUGAGUUACCAAUGGAAAAAGACAGUGAAGGGAUUGAAGCAUCGGUAUUAAAGUACUUACAGUGUUAUCAGUGACUUUGUACUGGGGGUCAAUCAUGCCACGGUACGUGAGAGCCGAUCUGCAGAAUAGGUGCUCUUUCCAUUCUUCCCACCACUGUUUGUAUGUCUGAGUGAUGAAGAGAGCUGGAAUCCAAGUCGAUAGAUCAACAUCUGUAUCGGCAUUUGGUGGGAGUUGGGCUACUCUGAUCCACUCGAGAUGGCCAGUGAUAGUUUCCCUUGGCUUUAUCACAUCGACGUAGCAGAGUGCAAUCGGCAGUUGGCUGAAAGCUAGUUGGCGAGCUAGUGCCGAUGGGUUAUAAAACUCAUAGGUCAGAUUGGAAGCUUUCCCACUGGUAUGGCUCUUGGAGUGAUAAUUGCCAUCAUCACAUCACGGUCCUUGUUAAGAGUAUCGUUGAAGGGGUGGAAAGUCAAGGGAAAUCUGGUAUCUGGGUCUUCAUAAGGCAUCCAUGCCCGCUGUUCUCUGGUCAGACCCUCAUAUGAAGUUUGGAAGAAUCGGCUAACCUGGUCUGCGUUACCACCUGUGCCAGGCAAAACUAUGGCAGCUUCGCCAAAGUUCAGAGGGGAACGAGUUGCCGAUUCUUCUUCAUCUAGUUCAUAAUCCUCGGCUAUAUCCCUGGGGAAGCGCUGUGCAAAGAGGUUGAACUUAAGGCACUUGUGCAUGUGAAGACUAAGCCACAUAUUGAUGAACCACCAGGGACCCCCUAAGUUGCCGAUGGGUUGACCAAGCAGUAGUUUCUGGGCUACCUGGUGGAGGAGGUGAUAAGCAGAGCCAAGUAGGUAUCGGCUGAGAGGAAAUCGGCCACCAUUGGCUAAUCUUUCUGCUGCCGACAAGUAAACAGAAGUUGGUCCUGCCGAUCGGCCACAGAAUACAAAUUUAUCCAGCCACAUAUUCAGAAAGGUGGUCUGUUCCUUUGCAUUGACAGGACCUGUUCUUUGAUACUUCUGAAUGUACCCUGACCAACCGCCGAUGGCACGAGUUUCCACCUUAGCACUGGGUUUGGUGUCGAACAGGUGGGUGGUAUCGGCAGUGGAUAUGUCUAAACCGGUGAGCAUAAGAACAUCGGUAAGUGUAGGGGAAGCAGGGCCAUGACCAAACACGAAAGCAUUGAGUGUGUCUGACCAAAAGUAUGAGGCAGCAAUCAGUAGUGACUCAUUUCUCUCCAUAUUGGCAAGAGACAAUCUAAUGCACUGAUCUAAUUUCCGUUAACCCCAUUGGACCUCAUUUGAGUUACUGACUCUCAGAAACCAAUCCUUCCAUCCCUUGGUAGGGCUGGGCCAGGAACGGAAGGCGUCUUUCCAUAGAUCUAGAGAAAAAUUCUCAGCUCUAAAGGGGAUUCUGUUUGUCUCUGCGUUUAUAAGAUCGGUGGGAUCUAAGUUUCCUAGUGGACCAAGGCAUUGGAGAUGGGGUUGAUUGGUAGGGAUUAUGAUCUUGUCAGCCAAGUCCUAAAGAUUGUGAGGAUGAAAGAAAAAGUAAAAAAGGGGAAUGUUCAGUAAAAGGAAUUGCGGAUAGACAAAGGUACAGCAAGAAUACGAAAAAAAGAGGGAGGGUGAAAGGUCCUAAUAUGGCUAGAGGGGGGUGAAUAGCCUAUUUAAAAAUUCUACAAACUCACUAGAGCAAAAGGUUAGUAAAUAACAAAGCAAAGCUUUUUGCUCUAGCUCUAAAGGGGUGUUUGCAAGCCACCUACCCAACAAUUCUAGUUGCUAAGAUCUCUAUGCACACAAGAACUAAGUCUCUACAAGUUACACUAGAGAACUAAGCUACACAAGUCAAAGUAAGCAACUAAACUAAUUACACUAGUUUGCGGUAAGUAAAGAUAAGAUGAUAUAUUUAUACCACCGUGUAGGGGAUGAACCAAUCACUAAUAUAAACAAUCAAGCACCGGGAGAAUGCCAAUCAAACACAAUUGAGACACCGAUUUUUCUCCCGAGGUUCACGUGCUUGCCGGCACGCUACGUCCCCGUUGUGUCGACCAACACUUGGUGGUUCGGUGGCUAAGAGGUGUAGCACGAACCUAGUCCUCACUAGGACACCACAAGAACCUACCCACAAGUGAGGUAGCUCAAUGACAUGAGCAAUCCACUAGAGUUACCUUUCGGCUCUCCGCCGGGGAAGGUACAAGACCCCUCACAAUCACCGGAAGAUGGCCACAAACAAUCACCAACUCGUGCCAAAGCUCCUCCGCUGCUCCAAGCCGUCUAGGUGGCAGCAACCACUAAGAGUAACAAGAAAACCGCAGCUAGAACGAUCCCCAAGUGCCACUAGAUGCAAUCACUCAAGCAAAUGCACUUGGAAUCACUCCUAAUCUCACAAAGAUGUAUAAUCUAUGAAGGAGAUGAGUGGGAGGUGUUUGCUUAGGCUCACAAGGAUGUCUAGUAGUCAAGAAUGCCAAGAGAGUGAGCCCCAAGCCGGCCAAACACGUAUUUAUAGCCCCUCAAACAAAUAGAGCCGUUGGCUCUUACACUGGGCGAAAUACGGGGUCACUGGACGCUCUUAAAGGGGCACCGGACGCUCAACACCUGCGUCCGGUGCUCCAACGUCAGCCGCGUCUCAGAGUCUAACGGUAACCUACAGUGCACCGGAUGCUGAGCAAGAUAGCACUGGACGCGUCCGGUGCACACCGGACUCAUGCGCAGAGAGCUCCGCAAAAACACAGGGUCACCGGACGCUAAGCACCGGUAGCGUCCGGUGCUCACUGGACCCAUGCGCAGAGAGGGUCGCAAAGCGCCCGCACACCGGACGCGCACCACCGGACGCUCAAGCCAGCGUCCGGUGCCUAUCGUCCGGUGCCUUACCCUAGCUGGGCUUGGCACUGUUUGCACCGGACGCUCAGACACAGCGUCCGGUGCCUCAGUGGCCAGCGUCCGGUGAGUGUUUCCCGUGACUUCUCCAAAUUUCCCACCGGCGCAAUAGAAAAUAUGCACUUCAUUUUCUCGAAAAGCGCCGAAUGAGUAAACCAACAAGGUGUUAGCAUCCUCUCUCUACCCUUCAAACUCCACCUCCUUCUCAAAGUGUGCCAACACCACAAUGUGUAAACCAACAAGUGCACGUGUGUUAGCAUUUUCACAAUCAUUUUCUUCGAAGGAGUUAAGUUAGCUCACUAGGUUCUAAAUGCAUGCACAUGAACAAUGACACCUAGUGGCACUUGAUAACCGCUUAGCCAAAGAAUUCCCCUCUUUAUAGUACGGCUAUCUAUCCUAAAUGUGAUCACACCCUCUAUGGUGUCUUGAUCACCAAAACCAAAACCCUAAGCAAUACCUUCGCCUUGAUCUCCAUAGAGUUUUGUUUUUCUCUUUCUUCUUUUUCAAGUUGAGCACUUGAUCAUCUUGUGGUCAUCACCAUGAUCAUCACUUGCUCCAUCACUUGGCAUGUACCAACCUCAUUAAGUCUACACACACUUAUUAUGGAGGUUAGUACUAGGGUUUCAUCAAUUAUCCAAAACCAAACUAGGGCUUUCAAUCUCCCCCUUUUUGGUAAUUGAUGACAACCCUUUUUACAAAGAUUUUCAAUAAAAUUUUCUUGGAUUCAUGUUACUUGCCCAAGCAUUUUACCAUGUGCAAAGGUUAUGGACAAGUUUCAUAAACCCAAAUUGGUAGCAAUUGCUCCCCCUACAUAUGUGCUAAGAGUUUGGAUUUGAAAGCUUGCACAUAUGCUUGAAUAGGAGAUAUAGGAGUCAAUUUCUACCAAAUGAUGCUAAGGUGUAAAGAAUGGACCUUUGAAGUGUGAUACCAAUCGGAGUUGCCAAUGUACACCAUCCUUAGCACCAUUAGUAACUAGAUAUUCACAAAACUAGAACACCCCGUGAGAUCAACAUUAAAAACGAUGUUCUAGUACCACUUGUGAAGCAAAUAAAGGUCUAGUUACACUACCUAUGCAUGCUAAUUCUUCAUUUCAUCAAGCAAACCUAUAACUAGCAUACACCACACAAGCAAGGUAUUAGAGAGAAAGCUUCUGAAGCUAAUGCAAAUGCAAGCAAACAUAUGUGAUGCACAUUCAAAUGCAACAUACAAGUUUAUGAGCUUGCCCCCCUACUUGUGUGCUUCAAAUUUUAAUUUGAUCCCCUUCUUUUAUUAUGUUACUCCCCUAUCUUAAAUCUUUGGGAAAUUUUCUCCCCCUUUGUCAUCAAUGACCACAAAAGGUGAGCUCAAAUUUUAGAUAGGUUAGUGUGAGACCAUGUGAAGUGAGAUCAUUUUACCAAAUUGGUCCAAUCCAGAUUACUUGCCUAAGAUAUUUAACUCGGUUUGAUCCAAGGACAAGCUUCUUCACACCUCCAAAUAAGGGUUAUCUUGUACCAUGUUGAGUUAAACACUUAUAGCUCAUAUUCUAGAUCAAACACUAGGAUUGCAAGCCCACAAACAUGUCAUAUGCUACCACUAGAUCAAGUCAAGCAUAAAAGCAAUAGUGGUACCAUACAAGCAUCAAAUUCAUUUGAUUUUUAUGAAUGAGCCUAAGAUAUGUUGGGAAUGACUAGAUGCACUAAGCAAGUCCUUAGCAUAGCAUGGAUGACAUGUCAAACAAUUUUAUCUUGCUUUGCUCGAAGGAGAGGCAUGUCAUAUAGUGGGGGUGCAUCAACACAUAUUUGAGAAGUCAAGUAUGUUCAAUUCAUUCCUUAGCUUGCAAAACCUCUUCUCAUCGAGUGGCUUGGUGAAUAUAUCGGCAAGUUGAUCAUUGGUGCUUAUACUCUCAAUGCAAAUGUCCCCCUUUUGUUGGUGAUUUCUUAUGAAGUGAUGGCGGACAUCUAUGUGCUUUGUUCUUGAGUGUUGAACCGGAUUGUUGGUGAGCUUCACGGCACUUUCAUUGUCACAUAGCAAUGGCACUUCUUUGAAAUUGAUUCCAAAGUCCUUCAAUGUUGCCUUCAUCCAUAGGAUUUGUGCACAACAACUACCGGCCGCAAUGUACUCCGCUUCGGUGGUUGAUAGUGCAACACUAUUUUGUUUCUUGGAUGACAAUGAGACAAGUGAUCUUCCCAAUAGUUGACAUGUGCCUGAUGUACUUCUUCUUUCAACUUUGCAUCCUGCAUAGUCCGAAUCGGAAUAUCCAACAAGUUCAAACUUUGCACCUUUGGGAUACCAUAGACCAACAUUUUGUGUAUGCUUCAAGUACCUCAAUAUUCUCUUUGUUGCCUUCAAAUGACUUUCUCUUGGUGAGGCUUGGAAUCUUGCACACAUGCAUACACUAAACAUGACAUCCGGUCUUGAUGCGGUCACAUAGAGUAGGCUUCCAAUCAUAGACCGAUACAACUUUUGAUCCACCAUAUUUCCACUUGUAUCACUAUCUAGGCUUCCAUUUGUUCCCAUUGGAGUGCUAAUUGCCUUUGCAUCAUCCAUUCCAAACUUCUUGAGCAUGUCUUUUAUGUACUUGCCUUGACUCACAAAUGUGUCAUUCUUCAAUUGCUUGAUUUGAAGACCAAGGAAGUAGCUAAGCUCUCCAAUCAUUGACAUCUCAAACUCAUUAGCCAUCAUGUUGCCAAACUCUUCACAAAAUUCUUGGUUGGUUGAUCCAAAAAUGAUAUCAUCAACAUAUAUUUGCAACACAAACAAGUAUUUGCCAAGCUUCUUGGUGAAGAGAGUGGUGUCAACCUUGCUCAUCUUGAAACCUUUAGAGAGUAAGAAAUCUCUCAAUCUCUCAUACCAUGCUCUAGGUGCUUGCUUCAAACCAUACAAUGCCUUUCUUAGCUUGUAAACAUGGUUGGGUUUCUUGUCAUCUUCGAAACCGGGAGGUUGCUCAACAUAAAUUUCUUUAAUGAUAUAGCCAUUGAGAAAUGCACUCUUCACAUCCAUUUGAUAUAACUUGAUAUUGUGUGCACAAGCAUAGGCCAACAAUAUCCUAAUUGCUUCCAAUCUUGCAACCGGGGCAUAUGUUUCACCAAAGUCAAGACCUUCAACUUGAGUAUAGCCUUGUGCUACCAAUCUUGCUUUGUUCCUUACAACUAUCCCAUCUUGAUCUUGCUUGUUGCGAAAGACCCAUCUAGUACCAAUGACAUUAUGAUCACUAGGCCUCUCAACCAAUUCACAUACUUGAUUUCUUUUGAAGUUGUUAAGCUCUUCAUGCAUAGCAUUUACCCAAUCAACAUAUCUCAAUGCUUCAUCAAUCUUCUUUGGCUCAAUGUGAGACACAAAGGAGAAAUGCUCACAAAAUGAUGCUAAUCUUGAUCUAGUUUGCACUCCUCUUUGAAUAUCACCUAUGAUAUGAUCCAAUGGAUGAUCUCUUGCAAUAUUUGUUGGUUGGAGUAUUUGUACUUGAUUGCUUGCACUUGGUUGAUCAUGAGAUGAUGUACUAGCUUGUUGAUCUUGCACUUGUGUACCACUUGUACUAGCUUGAUUUUGAUCAUGAGAACCACUAGCUUGCACAUUAGAGGUAGGAAGCACUUGAUCUUUGUCAUCUUCAACAUCAAUUACUUCUCUAGGCCUUAAAUCACCAAUGUCCAUAUUCUUCAUUGCAUCAGCCAAUUGAGUGCCUCUCACAUCAUCUAGAUUCUCAUCUUCCUCUUGAGAGCCAUUGGUUUCAUCAAACUCAACAUCAUGCACUUCUUCAAGAGUACCACUAGCCAAAUUCCAAACUCUAUAAGCUUUGCUAGUAGUGGAGUAACCAAGCAAGAAACCUUCAUCACAUUUCUUUUCAAAUUUACUCAAUCUAGUGCCUUUCUUCAAUAUGUAGCAUUUGCAACCAAAAAAACGAAAAUAUGCAAUGUUGGGCUUUCUUCCAUUCAAGAGCUCAUAUGGAGUCUUCUCCAUCAUUGGGUGACAAUAGAGUCGGUUGCUAUAGUAGCAAGCCGUGUUGAUUGCUUCGACCCAAAAAGAAUGACUCACAUUGUAUUCACUCAACAUUGAUCUUGUCAUGUCAAUUAAGGUUCUAUUCUUCCCCUCAACAAGACCAUUUGAUUGUGGAGUGUACUUGGCCGAGAAUUGAUGCCUUAUGCCAAAUUCAUCACAAAGCUCAUCAACUCUUGUAUUCUUGAAUUCACUUCCAUUGUCACUUCUCACUUUCUUGAUGGUUGUUUCAAACUCAUUGUGUAUUCUCUUGACAAAUGAUUUGAAGGUUGCAAAAGCAUUACUCUUGUCACUAAGAAAGAACACCCAUGUGUAUCUUGUGAGAUCAUCCACUAUCACAAAUCCAUAUUUGUUUCCACCAAUGCUUGUGUAUGUGGUUGGUCCAAACAAGUCCAUGUGCAACAACUCAAAUGCCUUGCAUGUACUCAUGAUGCUCUUCUUUGGAUGAGUGUUGCCAACUUGCUUUCCGGCUUGACAUGCACUACAAAGCUUGUCUUUCUCAAAUGUGACAUCUUUCAAGCCUCUAACAAGAUCAUGCUUGACUAACUUGUUUAAUUGUUUCAUUCCAACAUGACCAAGCCUUCUAUGCCAUAACCAACCCAUGCUAGAUUUAGUGAGCAAGCAUGUUGAUAAUUGAGCUUCACUAGCAUUGAAAUCAACCAAGUAUAGAUUCUCAUAUCUAAAGCCUUUGAAGAUCAAGUUAGAGCCAUCUACACUUAUGAUCUCUACAUCAUCAACUCCAAAUAUGCAUUUGAAACCAAGAUCACAAAGUUGAGCUAUGGAUAGCAAGUUGAAGUUCAAGCUCUCUACUAGCAGCACAUUGGAAAUGCUCAAGUCAUUGGAUAUAGCAAUUUUACCAAGCCCUUUGACCUUGCCUUUGCCAUUGUCACCAAAUGUGAUACUAUCAACACUAUUGUCAUCAUUUGGAUUGAUUGAAUUGAACAUUCUUGAAUCACCGGUCAUGUGUUGUGUGCACCCACUAUCAAGCACCCAAUGCCUUCCUCCGGCUUUAUAGUUUACCUACAAAACAAAUCAAUGUUUCUUAGGUACCCAUACUUGUUUGGGUCCUUGGAGGUUAGUGACUAAGCUUUUUGGUACCCAAAUGGCCUUCUUCUUUGGACCCACAAUUGGUGUACCAACAAACUUAGCAUGCAUACCCUUCUCACCCUUGGUAAGCACAUAACAAGAAUCAAAAGGAAUGUAAGGUACAUCAGCAUUUUUCUUGUUCUUGUUCAUUUUAUUGCAAUUAAGCUCUAGGUGCCCAACUUGCUUGCAUUUGUUGCAAUACCGACCAUUGCUCUUCACAAAGCUAGGCUUGUGAGUUGCAAAGGCUUUCUUGCCCUUCUUGGGGGUAUAGCCUAAUCCCUCUUUAUUGAGAGAAAACCUUUGGCUACCCAAGCACUUUAGCAAGCGGGCCUCACCACCAUAGGCUUUGCCUAGGGCGUGAGUGAGCUCAUCCACCUCUCUCUUGAGAGUCUCAUUCUCAACCUUUAGUGAGGUGUCACAAGUGACACUAACACUAGAAGUAGAGGUAGAGUUGGUGGUGGUGGAUGAAGACCUACAAGAAGAGUUAGUGGCAACAACAAUAGGUAGGUUGGGUGAUUCUUUAAUUAAGUCACAUGUUGUGCUCACAUCACAUGAUACAACAACCUUUUCCUUGUUCUCUUCUAACAACAAGGAGUGAGCUUUCUCAAGCUUGGUGUGAGCCUUGCCAAGCUUCUCAUGGGCUUCCACUAGCCUCUCAUGAUUAGCAUUGAGCUCAUCAAAGGAUUGCUCAAGAGCUUUUAACUUCUUGGCCAAUUCUUCGCACUUCUUGUUUUUAGAUUGAAUGAGAGAAUCGGCUUGUUCUAACAUGUCCAUGAGUUAUUCAUUAGUGAAUUCAUUUUCAUCAUCACUAUCACUAUCAUGUUCAUGUUCACUUUCACUUUCACUCUCAUCAUAUUGUACCUUGUGUCCCUUGGCCAUGAAGCAUGAAGGAGUGUCAAGGAGUGAUGGCUUGUUGAUAGCAAUGCUUGCAAGCGCCUUCUUCUUGGAUGCCUUGUCAUCAUCACUAGAAUCAUGAUCCGAAGAAGCAUCACUAUCCCAUGUCACAACAUAGGAUCCACCCUUCUUCUUCUUCUUGAAGACCAUCUUCUUCUCUUUCUUUUCUUUCUUCUCCUUCUUGUUCUUCUUGUCAUGCUCAUCAUUGUCACUAUUGUAAGGACAAUCCGCCACAAUAUGAUCGGGGCUCUUGCACUUGUAGCAUAGUCUCACAUGCUCCUUGUUCUUGAAGUGAUCUCUUCUCUUUCUUGUGUGAUUGCCCUUCUUCUUCUUCAUCUUGCCAAACUUGCGAACAAAGAGUGCUAGUGCUUCAUCAUCACUAUCAUCAUUGGAGCACUCCUCAUCACUAGAUUCUUCCUUCUUGGCCUUGCCUUUAUUCUUGCUCUUGGAUGAAGAGCUAUCUUUGAAUGCUACACCCUUCUUCUUCUUAUCAUCAUCAUCCUUCUUCAUGACCUCAUCAUCAUCAUUGUCAUUGUAUUGAUCUUCGGUUAUGACAUCUCCAAGUACCUCAUUGGGAGAUACACCCGUCAAUCCUCCUCUAAAUAUGAUGGUUCUCAAUGUCUUGAAUCUCUUGGGCAAGCACAUCAAGAACUUGUGAAUGAAAUCCUCAUCCUUCACUUUCUCACCAAGGCCCUUGAGAUCAUUGAUGAUGACUUGGAGCCUAUAGAACAUCUCCGGGAUUGACUCAUCAUCCUUCAUCUUGAAGUUUGAAAGCUUGUCCUUGAGCAUGUACAACUUGGCACUUUUUACCGUUGUAGUGCCCUCAUAUGUUUCUUCAAGCCUUGUCCACACUUCACUAGCCUUCUCAAGAUCUUUGACUUGCUCAAACACCUUUGAAUCAAUGCCAUUAUAUAUUGUGUUGAGAGCCAUAGUAUUGCAUUGCUUGUUUGCUCUCUCAUUGUCGGUGGGGUUAGCGGGGUCAAGGAUCACAAAGUCAUUCUCCGUGACUUCCCACACUCUAUCAUUGAUUGAUCCAAGGAACAUCUUCAUUUUUCUCUUCCAAUAGUCAAAGGAACUUGUGCCAUCAAAGAACGGUGGUUUGCCCCCAACAUGGUUGAACACUAUUUGAGCCAUAAUUUGAGCACCGAGGUUGUUAAGCCUUCACAAAACGGUGACCACCGCUCCGAUACCACUUGAAAGGUCCUAAUAUGGCUAGAGGGGGGGUGAAUAGCCUAUUUAAAAAUUCUACAAACUCACUAGAGCAAAAGGUUAGUAAAUAACAAAGCGAAGCUUUUUGCUCUAGCUCUAAAGGGGUGUUUGCAAGCCACCUACCCAACAAUUCUAGUUGCUAAGAUCUCUAUGCACACAAGAACUAAGUCUCUACAAGUUACACUAGAGAACUAAGCUACACAAGUCAAAGUAAGCAACUAAACUAAUUACACUAGUUUGCAGUAAGUAAAGAUAAGAUGAGAUAUUUAUACCGCCGUGUAGGGGAUGAACCAAUCACCAAUAUAAACAAUCAAGCACCGGGAGAAUGCCAAUCAAACACAAUUGAGACACCGAUUUUUCUUCCGAGGUUCACGUGCUUGCCGGCACGCUACGUCCCCGUUGUGUCGACCAACACUUGGUGGUUCGGUGGCUAAGAGGUGUAGCACGAACCUCGUCCUCACUAAGACACCACAAGAACCUACCCACAAGUGAGGUAGCUCAAUGACACGAGCAAUCCACUAGAGUUACCUUUCAGCUCUCCGCCGGGGAAGGUACAAGACCCCUCACAAUCACCGGGAGAUGGCCACGAACAAUCACCAACUCGUGCCAAAGCUCCUCCACUGCUCCAAGCCGUCUAGGUGGCGGCAACCACUAAGAGUAACAAGAAAACCGCAGCUAGAACGAUCCCCAAGUGCCACUAGAUGCAAUCACUCAAGCAAAUGCACUUGGAAUCACUCCUAAUCUCACAAAGAUGUAUAAUCUAUGAAGGAGAUGAGUGGGAGGUGUUUGCUUAGGCUCACAAGGAUGUCUAGUAGUCAAGAAUGCCAAGAGAGUGAGCCCCAAGCCGGCCAAACACGUAUUUAUAGCCCCUCAAACAAAUAGAGCCGUUGGCUCUUACACUGGGCGAAAUACGGGGUCAGUGGACGCUCUUAAAGGGGCACCGGACGCUCAACACCUGCGUCCGGUGCUCCAACGUCAGCCGUGUGUCAGAGUCUAACGGUAACCUACAGUGCACCGGACGCUGAGCAAGUUAGCACCAGACGCGUCCGGUGCACACCGGACUCAUGCGCAGAGAGCUCCGCAAAAACACAGGGUCACCGGACGCUAAGCAUCGGUAGCGUCCGGUGCUCACCGGACCCAUGCGCAGAGAGGGUCGCAAAGCGCCCGCACACCGGACGCGCACCACCGGACGCUCAAGCCAGCGUCCGGUGCCUAUCGUCCGGUGCCUUACCCUAGCUGGGCUAGGCACUGUUUGCACCGGACGCUCAGACACAGCGUCCGGUGCCUCAGUGGCCAGCGUCCGGUGAGUGUUUCCCGUGACUUCUCCAAAUUUCCCACCGGCGCAAUAGAAAAUAUGCACUUCAUUUUCUCGAAAAGCGCCGAAUGAGUAAACCAACAAGGUGUUAGCAUCCUCUCUCUACCCUUCAAACUCCACCUCCUUCUCAAAGUGUGCCAACACCACAAUGUGUAAACCAACAAGUGCACGUGUGUUAGCAUUUUCACAAUCAUUUUCUUCGAAGGAGUUAAGUUAGCUCACUAGGUUCUAAAUGCAUGCACAUGAACAAUGACACCUAGUGGCACUUGAUAACCGCUUAGCCAAAGAAUUCCCCUCUUUAUAGUACGGCUAUCUAUCCUAAAUGUGAUCACACCCUCUAUGGUGUCUUGAUCACCAAAACCAAAACCCUAAGCAAUACCUUCGCCUUGAUCUCCAUAGAGUUUUGUUUUUCUCUUUCUUCUUUUCCAAGUUGAGCACUUGAUCAUCUUGUGGUCAUCACCAUCAUCACCAUGAUCAUCACUUGCUCCAUCACUUGGCAUGUACCAACCUCAUUAAGUCUACACACACUUACUAUGGAGGUUAGUACUAGGGUUUCAUCAAUUAUCCAAAACCAAACUAGGGCUUUCAGAGGGUAAGCUAACCUCAGGGACGACGAAGUUGACGGCCAUUGCCCCACAGAGAAGAAGAUCGAAAACUUGGGGGUUGUUGGAGGAAGUUCUUGCUGGAGUUCUUGGAGCUCUCGAACAGUGCCGCCGCCAGGAAAGCAGAGUUGGGGCUGUAGAAUGAUGCGAUGGAGAAGGAGUACCCGAGAAGGGAGUAUUUAUAGGACAAAACGGGCAAGGGCAAAUUUGACUUAUCUCUUCGCCAUAUCCGUGAAAUCCGAGGGUACUCAGGUGGAUAUGGUAACUGUUCACACGGUAAUCAAGGGAUAGCGCAGGUGAUUUGACAGGAAGCGGUCAUGAUUUGGAGAUAUUUUACUGUGCGGGAUCUCUUGGUCGGUCCAUCGACAGUUCCCUCUAACGGUAAUAUUGCCGAUGGGCGCAUAAAGUGGAGAGAUCCGGUUCGGAAGGUUGAGGAAUUUGAGGAACCUGCAGGAGAAUUGGGCCAAGGUUGUUCAGAUUUAAACGGUCGGUUACCAAAUUGGGAGAAUUAAUUGCGGAAAGGCAUCAUUACUGCAGAGAAUUUCGGAGCAUUAAUGAUUUUAUACUCCGAAAUUGGGGGGCAUGUGUUGACACCAUUUUUGACACGUACCCAGGGACCAGUAGAGUAUAGAUCGGCAGGUGGAGCAAUGGUAACUAGUCUAUAGAAGAGUUGCCGAUGAGGAUAGUUGCCGAUGAAGAGACGAUUGAAUAUGACUAAGUCCAGAGGUGGUGACGUGUUCUUGCCGAUGAUCAAUAUUGGUGUUUGCCGAUGGCCAUAACAGGAAGACUGCCAAUGACUCUGAAGGAAAGCGUGGAGGUUGUCGAUUGAUCUGUGGCGGUGUCCCGGUCGGUUACAAGGGGGUAGUUUUAUGUUUUCCUUAGUUAUUUAAAUUCGUUUUGUAUACGGAUUCUGUUUAAUUUGGAAUUCGAGUCCUAGUCGUGUCUGAUUGUAGCUCUUUGAGCAGGGUAUAAAUGUAGACCCUAGGGCCUUGUAAUGAUAUAUCUAUCAAUCAAUCAAACACAAGUUUUUACUCAUAUUCUAGCAUCUACUUUUUCGACGACUUCGUCAUAUUUUCCUUUUUACUACGAGUUCUUAGGAAUUUGUCGACUUAAGCUCGGCGUAUUCUCGAGUUCCGCGUGAGUACCUCUUGGCCGUGACAUCCGGGCGCAUCGCUGUUGUCAGGACCAAAGUAUUCGAGUUACCACCUUUGCCGAUAGUAAGGUCAAAUCGGCUGGCACGCCUUAACGUUUGAAUUGGGUAUUAGCCCUUUGUGUUUGCAGAUCAACUUUUGCACCAACACAUCUUUUGGCACGCCCGGUGGGACCAGAUUCGGCGCUUUUUGAGAAAAUGAAGUGCAUAUUUUCUAUUGCACUGGUGGGAAAUUUGGAGAAGUCACGGAAGUGUUUCUCGCUGAGAAACACUCACCGGACGCUGGCUUCUGGAGCACCGGACGCUCAGACUCAGCGUCCGGUGUAGACAGUGCCUGGCCCAGCUAGGGUAAGGCACCGGACGACAGGCACCGCACGCAGUUUGGAGCGUCCGGUGGUGUGAGUUCGGUGACCCGAGCGUUUUGCAGAGCUCUCUGAGUUUAAGUCCGGUGAGCACCGGACGCAGCUUGAGCGUCCGGUGGUGUGCGUCCGGUGACCUGCGCGUUUUGCAGACCUCUCUGUGUUUAAGACCGGUGUGCACCGGACGCGUCCGGAGGAAACCUGCUCAGCAUCCGGUGCUCUGCAGGUUACCGUUAGACUCUGACACGUGGUUGACUUUGGAGCACCAGACGCUGAUGUUGAGCGUCCGGUGCCCCUUUAAGAGCGUCCGGUGACCCCGUGUUUUGCCCAGUGAAAGAGCCAAUGGCUCUAUUUGUUUGAGGGGCUAUAAAUACAUGUUUGGCUGGCUUGGGGCUGACCUCUUGGCAUUCUUGACUACUAGACAUCCUUGUGAGACUAAGCAAACUCCUCCCACUCAUCUCCUUCAUAGAUUAAACAUCUUUGUGAGAUUGGGAGUGAUUCCAAGUGCAUUUGCUUGAGUGAUUGCAUCUAGUGGCACUUGGGGAUCAAUUUUGUUGUGGUUUUCUUGUUACUCUUGGUGGUUGCCACCACCUAGACGGCUUGGAGUAGCGGAGGAGCAUUGGCACGAGUUGGUGAUUGUUCGUGGCCAUCUCCUGGUGAUUGUGAGGGUUCUUGUACCUUCUCCGGCGGAGAGCCGAAAGGUAACUCUAGUGGAUUGCUUGUGUCAUUGAGUUACCUCACUUGUGGGCUGGUUCUUGCGGUGUCCUAGUGAGGACGAGGUUCGUGCUACACCUCUUAGCCGCCAAACCACCAAGUGUUGGUCGACACAAUGGGGACGUAGUGUGCCGGCAAGCACGUGAACCUCGGGAGAAAAUUAUGUGUCUCAAUUGUGAUUGUUCAUUGGAUUUCUCCCAGUGAUUGGACUUCAUAUUAUUGUGAUUGGUUCAUCCUCUCUACGCGGCGGUAUAAAGUUCAAACACUCUCUCUUACUUUCUUGCAAACUAGAGUAGCUUGCUUCUUGUAUAGAAAUUUUAGGUAGCUCUCUAGUGUAAGUAGUGACAUAGCUCUUGUGUGCUUAGUGAUCAUAUUAACUAGAAUUGUUGGAUAGGUGGCUUGCAAACACCCCAUUAGAGCUAGAGCAAAAAGCUUCGCUUUAUUAUUUACUAACCACUUGCUCUAGUGAGUUUUGUAGAUUUUUUAAAUAGGCUAUUCACCCCCCCUCUAGCCAUAUUAGGACCUUUCAGCUACCCCCUACCAUUCUCAGACAAGUGGCCAAGUAGAGACUUCCAACAAGCAAAUCAAGAAUAUUCUUCAGAAAACAGUCAAUGAGAUGGGAACGGCAUGGAAGGACAAGUUACCUGAUGCACUCUGGGCAUACCGGACAGCAUACAAGACCCCAAUUGGAAUGUCCCCAUACCAAUUGGUGUACGGGAAGACUUGCCACCUACCUGUUGAAUUAGAGUUUAAAGCACACUAGGCCAUAAGGAGAUGGAAUAUGGACCUAGAUGUCGCUGGAGAUCAUAGAAGAAUGCAACUAUCAGAAUUGGAAGAAUGGCGAGAGAAAGCAUACCACAAUUCGAAGAUCUACAAAGAAAGUGUCAAAAGGUGGCAUGACAAGAGGAUCAAGAAGAAGGAGUUCGCACCCGGAGAUAAGGUAUUACUUUUUAAUUCCAGAUUAAAGCUUUUCGGGCAUGGAAAACUCCAGAGUAAAUGGGAAGGACCAUUCAAGGUAAUCAAUUCAUCAUCCCACGGAGCUAUCACACUUCAAAAUGAUGAAGGUACGUUAUUCAAGGUAAAUGGUCAACGUCUUAAAUUUUUUUUGAGCCUAAUAAAGAAUUAGAAGAAAUAGACGUGAUCCAUUUCUACCUUUCCAUGGAAAAUUAGAGCCCGACCUUUUUAAUCUGACGUUUUUGGACCACGUAUAUAUUUUUCGAAUAAAUUUUGCAUCUAGAAGCAUGCUCGAAGAGGCGGGCCCACAAUGGAGCCAGGCACAGGGUGGGCGCCCUGAUGAUGAGGGCGGGCGCCCAGCCCCUGUCUCCUCUCAGUCCCGAUUUCCUCCGUCGCGAUAAACCCAUUUAUGGUAAACUAAAUAAUCAUGCGGAUGGAAUGUUUCGCACGCAUGGUGGCGGGAGUAGCCCGAGCAAACCCUAGAGGCACUUUUUGGCCCCUAUAUAAACAGACCCCUGACGUCAGUUUUCAACACCAAUUCAUUCAAGCCUUCUCUCCUUCUUUAAUUAGAGCUUUCUUAGUCCCUCGCUGCUCCAAUGGCCGAUGAGUUCCACGACGAUUGGGAGGUCGUCCCCUUCGACCUCAACAAGAAGCCCAAGGAAGACCCCGACGCCUACGCUCUCGUCCCGGCCAACACAGAGCAACAACUAGCAGCCAUGCCAUCAUGCCAGCGCAGCUCCACCCAAUCCUACCAUGCUCAACCAGUUCUCACCGCACCACCACAACCCCUACUUCUCAAGGGACCGUCAGCCAAGAAGGAGGCCAUCGUCAAGGUGCCAGCCGGCACGAGAAUCCUACCACCCAGGCCCAAUGAGCGGGUCGUCGGAGUCAAGACCAACCGGAGCGGCGAGAUCAGCAGCAUCCGCUACACUACGGAGGAGGAGAGGCCUUACUUCGAGGGGAUUAGAGCAGCCAAAGUCCGCUUCAUCCCUCCAAAGGCAGCCCCGAAGCACGCCCUCAACGCUCUUGAGACACCUCCUAAGCGUCGCAAGACUAUAGCAGAUGUAGAUGAGGACGUUCGUAGGCUAGACAAGGUCAUCAUAGAGCUCCAGUCCUCGGUUAACUCCAUCAAUAGGCAGCUCUCUAACCAGAACACCGUGAUACUAGGUCUUAAUCAUGAUCUUGCUAGUGCUAAUAAGAAGAUUAGGGAGUUAGAGCGCCGUUAAGUUAUCUAGAUUAGAUCUUGAGGCAGUGCAUUUUAGUUAUUCAUCUUUAAAUUCGUCUUAGAUCUAUUAUUAGCUUCAGUUCAUUAUUAGUCAGUUGUAAUAAAUGCCUCAAGAUUAAUAAAGAUUAUGUCCUGUAUGUCUCUACUUUAUUUUUUAUGCAAGUAAGCAGAAAACAAGUAUGGGGGAGAUCCCCCGACAUGCCAAACACACUUCGACUACACCACUCCACAAUUCAGGUACAUACUCUGCACACUUUACACAUACGCAUAUAUCUUGGUUCGUACAGAAUAUUGUCUCUGACAUAAUAAAUUAAAAAGAUAAAAAUAUUUCUAAUCAUGAUUAAUCUCACUAUGUGAUAUUUCCUGAAAACCUACAAUUAUUGAAAAAUCAUUUUAAAACCCUGUGUUGCUUAAGUCACUGUGGAAUAUGAGAUGGUAGAGUAUGAGUAUCUUAUUCUUGAUAUCGUUGUUGCUUGGAGAAUUUAUUUCAAAAAUCUUCAAAAAUUCUAGCUACCAUCCUCAAUGUUUUAUAUGCCUGCUAAACCUUAAAAUUAAAUAAUUAGAAAAGCUAUCUACUCUGUAUUGAGUUUGUUCAAAACGUGUUAGACCCUUGUUGAGAGAUUUAUCAU
rnacentral:lncRNA from 1 species